rnacentral:lncRNA from 1 species
CAACGUGGACAGGCGCUGACACCUGGGGCCCGCCACCCAUCCACGUCACCUUCUCCUUCUUCUCCUAGCUCCAUUAUAUGAAUCCAAACAGAGACCAAAGAGAAGAUUCUUAGUUGAAAAUUAGCCCAUUCUGAAAUGAAACUAGUUACAUUUUGUCUGGCCGAUUAAAUUAGGCCAGAAUACAACUCAGCGAGAAAGCAACCGCAAAUCAGGGGCACCGACCAGGGCCGGUUGGUCAGACAGAUUACUUCCAUUGCCGGACGAUGCCUCGCGACCAUUCCAUUCCCCGUAGUCCGUCACCGGAAGCGUGGGGAGGACGACGACACGGGACGUGACGGAGCUAGCUCGGCGUUGGUUGAAGGCGACACCUACCUAGCGAUGACACAACGGACGAUCGGAGUGAUCAGUGUAGACGGAACGAACCUUCUCUUCUGUCAUGUCGUGGAAUAAACAAUCGUGAUGAUGAGUUUGAUCCCGUCAUCUUUAGGUCGAAUACCUUCGUUCCGUGGAAAAGGUUUUGUGGAAUCGGUUGUGAGGAGUUUAUUUGCGAUCACACCACAUGUGACCAUGUCAACUUGCCACAUGAGAGGGCCGCCUGUAGGCUCUAGGCCAAGUCUAAUGCAAACACCUUGUGAUUAGUUGCACGAGCCCCAUGUGAUCCGCAAACCGUGGACCUUUCAUGGAUGACGUGCUUUCCUGUAGCCCCAGCCAGAAGCUAGGCGUACGGUAACCGUCGGAGUUCACAAGUUGAACUGAAGCUGUGGGGCAAUUGGAAUGUCAGACUCACUGUGUUUCCAGCCAGCAAGAACCCAGAAGGAUUCCCUCAGAAACAGAUGAGCACAAAAGCCAAAUUGAGCAAAAGGUAGGUAUGAUGCACUUAAUUAGAUCUUGUUUGGAAGGAAGGGGCUAAAUCAGAUAUUCGGAUGCUAAUUAGGAGAACCCCUAGGCUACAUCGCGAGAUGGAUCUAUUAAGCCUAAUUAAUUCACAUUAGCGAAUGGUUACGGUAGCACCACAUUGUCAAAUCAUGGACUAAUUAGACUUAAUAGAUUCGUCUCGCGAUCUAGCCUAGGAUUUGUGCAAUUAGUUUUGCAAUUAGUCUAUAUUUAAUAUUUCAAAUUAGUGUUAAAAUAUCCGAUGUGACAAUUUAGCCCUGUCUUCCAAAUACCCCUUUUAUCGUAAGGACGAACAAACAGAAGUACAAGAGCCAAAUCAUAAGAAUCUGGAGCUGUCCGGUAAUUGGGCAUAUUCAACUUUCUCCGAUAUUUUGGAUGAUCAUCUUCUCUCUCUGUGGAAUCAUAAUCAUUCAGCAAUAAUUAAAGGCCCCGUUUUCUUCCACUAACUUAUUUUAAGCACCCAUCACAUCGAAUGUUUAGAUACUAAUUAGGAGUAUUAAACGUAGACUAAUUGCAAAACUAAUUGCACAAAUCCUAGGCUAGAUCGCGAGACGAAUCUAUUAAGUCUAAUUAGUCCAUGAUUUGACAAUGUGGUGCUACCGUAACCAUUCGCUAAUGUGAAUUAAUUAGGCUUAAUCAGACUUAAUAGAUUCGUCUCACCGUUUAGCCUCCACUUAUGUAAUGAGUUUUGUAAAUAGUCUACGUUUAAUACUCCUAAUUAGUAUCUAAACAUUCGAUGUGACACGUGCUACAAAUAAGUCACCGGAAGAAAACGCCCCUAAGAGACCGCUUUAGCAUAUAAAAUUCAGCCAGCUUGCUUCCUCACGGUAUACAAACGACGACCAGUCACCAAUCAGUCAAUCACCGGUCUAGGCACAACUCUUAACUUUUAUCGAGAAGAAAACAACCAGCCAAGACGAUCGAUAGAGCAUUUGAGCAAACUUUUCGUGAGAGAGACUCAACGGUAGUACUGUAGUAGUACUCCACGGUGCGUGCCGAGUUGUGGCAUCGACCAUUCCGUUUGAAUGUUCAGAAAUAAACGACUGCAACACAGCAACAGCACGUAAGUAGCCACUAGGUAGAGGUGCCAUGGCUUGGAUGCCACGUCAACCGUGCUGCGCACGCGUCGUCAAACUUGGGACGUUGAGCGCAGGACAAGAACGGAGUACACCGCAUUUGCCCAUCUAUCUGUUUGGAAUAACACAUACUAGAUGCAUACAGUAUAGUAUAUUUGUAGUUCGCUGUCGUCACACCGAACAAGAGGUAGGCAAAGAGUGAGUAGAAGUAUGACGACGCAAGCUGCGAUCCGGGCAAUCCGGGUUGGAAAUGGAAUCUGUCGAGCCAAAUAUUCAGCCCAACCACUCAUGCCACAUACUCCCCGUUAACAAUCUUAUCCGCACACUGACACACAUGCACGAUGACGUAUAUAUGGGACCAACAAGACGAGCACAGAAGGCCCACGGAGAUUCUGGUCAAGGCUUCGGCCCAAGCCCAAUUUUGGAGCUCCUCCCCGCCUCUAUUUGGGCUUUUUCACCGUAUUUCGCUGUCUCUCUGGUGGCCGGCCGCCACCACCACCAUGUCUAAUGUGUCUUCUCCUGUGUUUUCUGGUUCAGGGUUCUUGGAGCAGACGCCGCGGGCGUGCUGCGGGGCGCCGGGCGUCGGCGAGUACAACUUCAACCUCACCUCCAAGUGCGGCGACCCGGGGGCGUACGCCUGCGACGACCCAUCCAACCACUGGAGCUGGGACGGGAUCCACCUCACCGAGGCCUCCUACGGCCACAUCGCCAAGGGCUGGCUCUACGGGCCAUUCGCCGACCCGCCCAUCCUCGACAACAAGCACCUCGGCUAAUCUCCAUCCAUCAUUCAGCGCCGGCUAGCCGGCCGGCGGGCCAGUACACCGGGACGGGACGCACCUGCAAGAUUGAUGGUGAUUGCUGUAGAGGAAACGGAACGAAAGGAAUCGGCGAGGACGAAUAAGGAUGCCCUCUGUUCAGAUUAAUUGGUUUAAUUUUAGAUUGUGUUGUUUGUGAUGUCUUUGGAGGGAUAAGUAUACUGGUAUACAUCUCUGCUCUGCUCGGUGUGUGAUUUUUUUUCUGUUUAUAUUACCAUAGUAGCAGUUUAGCACAGAUGUGUAGUGCUUCCCGUAGUCAAGAAAAUUGAGCAGGAAGAAGGUUGGGCGCCAUUUUAUUGUUGCUUGCUUCGUCACACUGUGCUCUGAGCAUAGUACGUCCUUCCAUAAAAAAUUCUCCAUGACCGAAGCAAACCCAACACACAAACUUGCAGCCUUGCAGGGGACUCGCUUCACUUUUGAUGGGCUCAUACCAUGCUGGGUCUUAGCUGGGCCUAGCCACACGAUUAUUUGGGCUCAAAUGACUCAAAGGGUUCACUUUUGAUGGGCUCAAGUCUCUUGUUGGUGAUCUUCCGUUGCCUGCCCGGAAUGACUGUUUUUUUAUUUUUUUAUUUUUUAUUUUACAAAUUUGCAAAAAUAAAUAACGAGCAAAACAUUAGUAGAACUAGAGUUAUACCGCCAGUUGAAAUAGCGGUAGGUUAGAAAAAAAUUUUAAAAGGAGCUACCGCCAGUUAAAACGGCGAUCGGUUACAAGAACAGCGGCUGGGACCCUUACCGCCGUUGGAAUGGCUACCGCCGUUUCAAACGGCGGUAAGUCCCCCCUCCCACCAUUCAGCCGGUGGUAGGAGGUGGUUCCACCACCUAUAGCCGGUUGAAACAGCUAUUUUGAUUUCGUGUAAUUUUUUCUCAGUUAAAAAAAAUAUAAAGUUAGAUUGGAAGCACUAAAUAUGUGAAUAUGUCACUAUUGGUUGCAAUAUAAAACUUCCUAAUUUGAGAGAGAUAGAGCGCUUUGAGGAAAUAAUUAAAAUUGAAUUAACUCCUAGCCAUUAAAUACAUAGCUGUUUCCAGCGAAAUUACAACAUAUAAAAACAAAAUUUGUGCACAACAUACGAACGCCAACGACUCUAGACUAAACAAUUAGUUAUAGAUUGCAGUGGCAUGUGCGGCACGGAUGCUAUCCUAAACAUGUGUUAUUGCUAAACCUAACAUGCCUUAGGUAAUUGAAAUAAUUGGGGAUAGAACCAUCUCUACUUUCUAGUAGAACUGGCUUUGCGAGAGUUGGGAGGGCCCGGCCUCACAGUAGGCAACACCCCUAGAGGCAGGUGGUGACGGUGCGCGAUCCUUGUUGUGGUGGUAGGGGCACUUGCACCAUGGAUCGGUACAAAUCAAGUCACCUGCGAUGUUAACCGCUCAAGGAUUUGCAUCAACUUCGGAUUGAAGAUUCUCCACCCUACGCUUGAGAUCAAAGAUCUUGCACUUGAAGUGGUGGAUGUACUCUUGGGUUGGAUCAAGAAGUGGAGGAUCGACCCACUUCGCAUAGCGUAGUUUCCUUUAUUGAGAUAAGGCUGAACAUGAUGUUAGUUUGUAGCACGAAAAGCUUAGCAAGAGUAAGGAAGUAAUAACAUGGAGAUAAUUCCUUAUUUGACACCAGACAAAUGACCCGUUCCUUCCUUGGCCCUCAAACUUUUUUCCUUCCUUAUUUGACACUGACUUCAACUUUUAUUCCCAAAUUGACACUCUAUUCAAUUUUCCAUCCGAACACUGUUAAAUUCCAUACGAAAAGAUAAUUUUGCCCCUAUGGGCCCUACCACCCUUCUCCCUUCUCUUCUUCACACUGCACGGGCCCUUCUCCCUCCGGGCCAGCAAGCUAGGCCCAUGCAGGCGCACGUCUCCGCCGAGCGGAGCAUGGAGGCCGUCGGCGAGGGGUUAGUGGUGGAGGAGGAGGACAUGGUGAGGCUGUUCGUGGGCCUCCCCGCGACCGUGGUGGUCUUGGAUGGCCGCAGGGUGUGCUGCACGAGGGCUGUCUCGGUGGCGCUGCGCGCGCUCAAGCUGCUCGGCAUCAACGGCAUGGAGCUGUCAGUGUCGUGGGCUGCCGUGCAGCCCACGCCCGGGGGUUGAUUCGAGUGGGCUAGGUACCACGCCGUCACCGCCAUGGUCCGCGACGCGGGCUCGACCUCCGCCUCUUGCUCCACACCUAUGGCCUUCGAGUUGCCGGAGUCUUCUGCCUUCUUCUGGGAGCCAGGGGGCUCGUGGAAUACCGCGUACGGGGAGUUCUUCCCAUCCUGAUACGUCGGGGAGCUCCUGGCGCACGGCGACUACGUCCUGGCCAUGGCGUCGAGGGUGUUCGUUGGCAAGCCCCUCAAGCUGUCCGCCAAGGUGCUGCUCCUGUGCGGGUCCAAACUGUCGCUGCAGGCGCAGAAGAAAAGCGUCCACAACCGCACCACGUAGUACAUGUCCAUUCGUUGCCCCCACACCGCCGCGCCAAGCUGGUUCCGUGCAUGGCCCCAGCGAGCGGUCCAUAGCUGGAUCUGGCCCCGUGCUUUGGCAGCCACGCUCGGCAGCUCCGCUCUGCGACGUUGCCCGCGUCAAGGGUCGGGGCCGCACGCCAAGCCGUCGCCGCCCAGGAUCCGUCACCGGCGUGUGCGGAUCUGUGCGCCGGCAGUUGCACCAGGCCCGCACAAAGCCGGAUCCAGGUGUUGGAGACCUCCGUGUGGCAUCCGGCUGCCGGGCGUCACGGCCGUGCCGAUGCCAUGGCAGCCGGCCCCCGUCACCGCGCACCAGCGUCCCCGCGACACGUCGCGUCGGAUGGCUGGUGUGGAGCAGAGGGAGGAGCGGAGAGGAGGGAGAAGGGUGUAGAGCAGGGGCAAAAUCGUUUCUCCGUAGAGAAUUUAACGGUGGUCGGAUGGAAAAUCGAACAGAGUGUCGAUUUGGGAAUGAAAGUUGAAGUUAGUGUCAAAUGUUAUUAAUUUGAACUAACCUCCAAAACACCUACAUUCUGAAUAACUAUAUAAAAUUAUAACUCGUGCAUUGCCAAUAAAUCAACAAACUAAUUUUACUAUAACCAAAAUAACUAAGUUAAAUCCACUAUACCAACAAACUAAUAUUUGUCUAUGUCUCAUAUGUACACCUACAUUUGAUUUAAUACUUAACACUACACCAUUUAUAUAUCAUAUUGACUACUACGUUUACUAACUACGAGUUAAGAUAAACUACGAGAUUUCAAAUAAUACCUCAAGCGAAGCGAAGAUCCGGCAGACCUAAUCUUCGCUUCAAUCACCACCCUCCUCCCCUCCUCUCCUCUCCUCUCUUCCCUCUCUUUCUUCCUCUUCUCCCGGUUCCUCUCCUCCCUCGCUUUCUUUCUCUCCUCCCGAAUGAAGUGGCGCGCCCCAACCCCAGCCAUUCUUCGGGUUUUAAAGGGCGGGGCGCCUACCGCCGCCUGAUUCGGCGGUAUCUUCCCGCUCCCGUCGUUUGAAUCGGCGGCAGGUUGUUACCGCCGAAUGAAGCGGCGGUAACUAGCUACCGCCGUCUCAUCCGGCGGUAACUCCGUGGGCCCCAUGGCUGCUAGGGUUCCGUGUACCGCCCACCGUUUCAGAUGACGGUAAGCGCUUUCCCUCGCAACGUGCCGCUGACGUGGUGCCCCUGCACAGAUACUGCCGGCUGAAACGGCGGUAACUUUUCUUACUGCCGGUUCAAACAGCGGUAGCCGUUUCAGCUGGUGGCAUACGUCUAUAUUUACUAAUUUUUUCCUCCGCUAUUUAUUUCUGCAAAAUCGUAAAAAAAUAUAUAAAAAAAUUCAGCCCGGAAUCAAGCUAAAGGGGCGAGAAACGUGGCCUGCCCGGCAAGGGAAAUCCGGCCAUUUCUUCGUUUUCACGGUUUCACCAGUUGACAUGCGAAAUUUCCAACUCGCUAACUUGCCAUCCGCCACCGGCUGCCGUUGACUUUUUUUUUCGCCGACGGGGCACUGGAGUACCACACAGGAAAUGGAAUCCGUGUGCGCAUCUGUUAUAUGCCGCCCAUCGCCUACGACUACGAUCGACCUCCCUGCUACCAUGCGAUGAAGCUGCUCUGCGCCCUCUCGGUUCUCCUCCUCGCGUCCGCGGGGGCCGUCUCCUCCUCCCUCCCCGUCCGGCGCUAUGGCUCCAUCUUCAACUUCGGCGACUCCUUCGCCGACACCGGCAACGACGUCGUCGUCUUCGCCGCGCACUCGCUCGCCAACCCCUCAUCUCGGCCUCCCUACGGCAUGACCUUCUUCGGACACCCCACGGGCCGCAACUCCAACGGACGGCUCGCCAUCGACUUCAUAGGUAAGCAAAGCACACGGCCACACGCUGGCCAUCUCGCUCGGCUGAUGCAUGCCUAGCGUGUCGCUUGAUCAUAUCAGUGAUCGUCCGGCGUGUGCGCAGCGGAGGAGCUGGGGCUCCCGCUCGUGCCGCCGUCGCUGGCGCACAACGGUAGCUUCCGGCAAGGCGCCAACUUCGCGGUGGCGGGCGCCUUCGCUCGCGACGCCAGUUUCUACAGAGACAUCCCCCUCGUCGGCCCGCUCGCUCUCAACACCAGCUCCGGCGUGCAGCUGCGGUGGUUCGAAUCGCUCAAGCCGUCGCUGUGCCACCCCGCCCAAGGUAACCAAUUACGUGGUAUACUGGAGUACACGUGUAGGAGUAUAUCGAUCUCACGGCGUGCCGUUCCUACAGAGUGCAAGGGCUUCUUCCACAAGGCCCUCUUCUUCAUGGGAGAGUUCGGCGUCAACGAUUACAGCUUCUCCCUUUUCGGGAAGAACCUGUCGCAAAUCAGGUCCUUCGUCCCAGACGUGGUCAAAACCAUCUCGACGGCGACUGAGGUAAUUAAUUAACCAAUCAUAAUUCAGGUGUCGGUUCGCCGGAAAAAAAUUCAGGAGGCGAACGAUAACAAUUUUAAUUUGAUCUAAAAUUUCGAAUGACAACCCUAUGUAUCUUGUCAGAGAGUGAUCACUCAGGGGGCGAAGACGGUGGUCGUCCCCGGGAUCCCGCCGAUGGGAUGCUCACCGCUAAACCUAGCCAUGUUUCCCAGCGCCGAUCCGGCAGGCUACGACCCACGGGCCGGCUGCCUGAAGCAGCUCAACGACCUGGCCAUUUACCACAACUCGCUGCUUCAGGAGGCCAUCAAGAAAGUCCAAACCAAGCACAGAGAUGUCAAAGUCAUCUAUGCCGAUUUCUUUAGUCCUAUCAUUGAUAUCGUUGUCUCCCCUCAAAAGCUAGGUUAGUACUAUGAUUGUUAUGGCUUAUUGGCUCACGUAUACCACCAUCUUGUCAUUUUUAAUUGUCCGUCCCAGUUGCAGUGUUAUGAUGAUGAAAAUUCAAAGAACAAUUUUACAAGAAAUGAUCAGCUUGUUAAAUAAUUAUUGCAGGGUUCAGGGGAGAGAUUCUGAGUAGCUGCUGUGGCAAAUACAACUUCAACGUCAGCGCCGGAUGUGGCAUGCCGGGGGCGACGGUGUGCCAGGAUCCAUCAUCCUAUUUGUAUUGGGAUGGUGGCCACUUCACGGAGGCAGCCUACCGAUACAUUGCCAAGGGCUGGCUAAACACCAUAAACAAUUACCAUGCCUAGCUAGCAUGCAGAUGUGAGAUAAUUGACGAUCGAAUAAUGGGGAUAUAUGUUUCCUUAAAAAGAUGAUGGGAUCUCACAUGUAUUCAAAAUUUCAAAUACUUGUAACCUAAUCCGACAUUAUGCGCGAAUAAGAAAACUACAUAUUAAAGUGGAGAAUAUUGAUGGUGUUUGUAUGUGAAUUAAACUGUGAAGCUUGUAAAACUCUUAUUAGUAGCUUUAUUUUAUUCUUAAAAAACGACACCAAGCCUUUAUUUCCCCCAUUUUAGGCUAAUCUCUACAGUAGUGGGAUUCUUGUCUAAGGGUGCAAGAUUCAAAUAAUUUUAACAAAAUCUGCGGGUAAUGUUCCCAUCUAAGUAAAACUUGCUCUAGACAAGAUAAAUCAAUGAGGCUUGAAACCGACCAAGCUUUGCUUCAGCCUGGCUUAAUGCUAGCAUGACAUACAUGGACCAUGCUCAUGUCUACUUAUAUGUACUAACAAGAUGUUACCUGAUAUUUGCUUCAAACACAAGCGCAAGAACAACAAUAAAUUUCACAGCAACACGUGGACAGAUCGAAAUCCCCGAUUUUGAAUAAAAAUUUCACUUGAAGGUUUUGAUUGAAAUUUGCUCCUGAAAGUUUUCUAAAAGGAAGGAGGGAAAACAAAGUUCCUAAAUUAACGUGUAAGGGAGAGAAUAUAAAUUGUAUGCUAUAAUUAUUCUUACUACCCUUUUAUUUUGAACAUGUUAAUUAAUUACUAUAAAAUAAUUUUGGCAAGGUAUAAAUUUUAAGCGUAUAUAUUGAUUAGAGAAAUCAGAUGCCAAAAAUACACAUAAUAAUUUAUUCUGCAUUUUGUCAGUGCUAUAAGUAACAUUAGCACAAACAGUAACAAGUCAAUGGCGGCGUAAAAGGAUCUCUAUAAAAGCUGGUUUACCAAGCUCAUCAGAAGCAUACGACCAGAAUAUUUCUUGAGAGGGAUAGAAACCGAGUGCCCAGUUCUUCACGACCUACACAAUGAAGCAUAAGUCUCUGCCUGCAGAUCACCGUGUUACUCUCCAGCUUGUCUUCUUCGAUGCAAACCCAAUACACCUCCAAUGAAGCGCAUAAGUCUCUGCCUGCAGAUCACCGUGUUACUCUCCAGCUUGUCUUCUUCGAUGCAAACCCAAUACACCUUCAUUUUCAGCUUCGGUGAUUCCUACACUGACACGGCAACAAAGCCAUCAUCUCCGGCCCGGCGACACCAAAUCUGUGGAUAACCAAACCGCCAUACGGGAUGACCUUCUUUGGGCAUCCCACCGGGCACCUCUCCGCCGGCAGAUUGAUCGUACACUACUACAAAAAAUGGUUCCAGUACCGGUCCCAAAUUCUCCUCUAGUACCGGUUGCAUAACUAGUACUGGCAAUCCGGAAUUAGAGAGGGGUCCUCUAGUAGGGUGGAGCCCCCAUCCGGUACUAAAGGGUCUCCGGGGAUCUUAAAUUUGGAUCCGGUACUAAUACUACCUUUAGUACCGGAUCCAAAUUGAACCGGUACAAAGCUUCGAGACGAGAGGUCAUAUUUCUAGUAGUGAUAGAUUUUAUUGGUAGGUUUACGUCUUUUAAUUUGCUGUUCGCAUUGGAUUGAACUUAGUUUAAAUUUUGCACAUACGUGUGUAGUGUGUUGUAUUCUACUUUUUUCAACACCGCCAAAAAAAAAAGAUCAAUCUCCCAAUGAGGGCUAGUUUGGGAGCAAAGGGUUAUUAACCCAGUGAAUAUAACCAUCGAAGGGGAUUUUCGUGGCAAAUUGAUUCCCGGUGAGUUCCCUGGGCACCGCUGCCCCCUACCCCGUUGCUGUUUGGCAGCAAAGAAAGAAAACAAAGGGAAAUUAGAAAAUUGCUGGAAAAAUACAUAGAAAAAUGAUUGCUAGCACGCAUCCCACACAUGUGGCGUUCGACACCAUUUGCUACCAGCAACCCAUUUGCUUCUAAACAAGCCCAGGCAUAUGAGAAUUAGAAAACUCAGAAAUCAAGAAAAAAUUCAGCAUUUUUUCUUGAAAGCAGUACCGAACACCUUACAACAUACCUGAUUUUCAAGCUUUCAAGCAAAUCCUCAACAUAUAGAAAGAAUUGAAAGCAGUACCGAACAAGCAACAUGUAGAACAUGCUAAAAACGUUUUAUAUACAACAGAAUCUCAACAACAUAAGUCAGGCACCAGAAGUUUAAAUCUCGACAUAAGGAUCUUGACGAACAGAAAAAACUGAAACCAACAAUCGAUGCAGGCAAUACGCAGAUAUCAGGUUCAAAAUAGCUAUAGUUUCUGCUGGGAAUAAUUUGUUGCUGUAAGGUGACUGAUUUCCAGCCUACAAAAUGGUUAUAAACUCAUCCUGCCUAUCAUUGCUCACAAAUUAAUAUUCAGCCAGGACUUGAUACAUUUUCUAGUGGACAUUAAAACCAACGAGAUUGCAUGGAAAAUUCUCACCAGAGCCUACACGGGAAGGCAAGGCAAAAAUAGGUACAACUUAAAACUGGAAAGGAAAUGCAGAAAGAAAAGAACCUAGAGAUAUUUUAGAGCACAUGGUUUAUUGUUUCUCAGCAGCCACCAAGAGAUACUGCAGUGUAGAUGCCUACUAAAAAAAGAGCAACCACAUCAACAAGUGUCAUCCCAAGGCUAAUCAAAGUGUUGAAACUAGAAAAUCAUUGAAUAUAGUUCCCCUUUUUUCUAUACAAAAGUAAAAAAAAUGUAACAAGGUUCCAAGCAUUAACUGAUGGUUUCAAAAUAAGCAUUAACUGGUGGUUCCAAAAUUGAUUUGCUCUUUAUAUAAUACACAACUUCUAACUAUCAUACGCAAACAUUAUUCUAAGAAUUUUGACCAGAUUUGGAAGCAAGUGCUCUACAAUACCAAUUUGCAGAUACUUUAUUUGUCAAAUAUAAUCUCAAGUACAAGAAUGGCCAACAAAACUAACUCAUGGUGCACUCAAUUACCAAUCAACAUAAUUGCACAGAGAUGGAUAUACAAUUUAAUAUUCAUGUGCACGACACAACCAGUAAACUCAUAAAUAUAAUUACACAUAGAUGCAAGUCAACUGAAUCUAAGGAAGACAAACAUGGAUAAAGAACAUGAAGCAGAAGAUGCACGGUGAUGAGACCGUACCUGCAACGAGAGGUCGACCUGAGAGCGAUCAGGGAGGAGGGAGACGAACGUGUGUCAGAAUGUGCGCUCGCUGCAUUGAGCCCACGCUCAGGAUCUUCCUCCGUUCAUAGCCUUCUUCAACAACAUCCACAAGAAAAGGUGUGAGAGAAGAGGAGAAACCCUAGCAAGUGCCAGGGAGAUGCGGGCUGAGGUUAAAUCACCUGAUGCGGAGGCGGAAAUAGCAACAGAGUCCACGGAUCGAGCAACUUCGCUGCCGUAGGACUUGAGCUGUCGCCGGAGUAGAACCCUAGUAAGGAAAGGGAGAUGAGAAGGGGAAGGGGAGGAUUCGGAUGAGAUGGGGAGAAGGGGUGGAGGAGGCGCACCUGGACGUGGAUUCUUGGAGGAGGUCGCGCGAGAGUUGGGAGCCACGGCGAUGGCCGGCUGCAGCGGCGGCUUCUGCAGGAGCGGAAGUGGGCGCUCCUCUCUCGCUCGCGCGAGCGAGACGCGUGACGGGGGAGAUGAAGACUUGGAGCGCUUCCCAACUGCUGUAGGUUGGGCUUUUUUCCGCGUGGAGAUUGGGCUCACAUGGGCCGAAUAACCCCGCCUAGCAGGCUUCCAAACUCACCGAUGAAGUGCCCCGCAGAACCGAUAUGUGCAGCCUUUCUCCGCACGGAAACGGACUGGACUGCCAAACUAACCCUAAAUGUACAAUGUAUGUACUCAGCUGAGGCACUGGGGCUACCUCUCCUUCCCCUUCAUUGGGGAAGAACCAAAGCUUCAAGCAAGAUGCAAACUUCGCGGUGGCCGGAGCCACAGCACUGAAACAACACCGAGGAUUGCCCAUGCAGGCCGGCGGCGUAAGGCUUCCUCCGAGUAAUAAAAAUCUCCCUAAGUGACGAGCUGGGGUGGUUCGACGCCAUGAAGCCCUCCCUCUGCAGCUCACCCCAAGGUAAUACCUGACACACGCGCUUCACGACAUGCAGGGAUUGCAUCGUCGAUCCUCGAAUCGCUCAUGCAUGGCCUUACUCACAAUCUAAACAUGGCAGUAAGGCACUAUUGCUGAUCUCUGUCUGUACUCUGUAGCAUGCAAGGAGUACUUCUCAAAGGCGAUGUUCGUUGUCAGAGAGCUGGGUUGGAACGACUACGGGGUCAUGUCGGCGGCAAAAGCGUCGCUGAGGUGCAAUCUUACGUGCCCCAAAUCAUCGGAACAAUCCCUGCACCACCGUGGUAAUUAAUAACUUGCAAGAAGAAAUCAGAUCGGGGCAUCAUCGACUGAACAAUUACUAAAAAAAUUACUGCAUUGCUGUGUGCAGAAGCUGAUCAACGAAGGCGCCACGAUGAUCAUCGUAUCGGGGAUAUCGCCGCUGAGGUGUGCGCCGGGGACCUGGUGCUCCUGGGCAGCCAGGACAAGGCCGACUACGAGCCGGACACGGGGUGCUUGAGGACCCUGAACCUGCUGUCCAAGUCCCACAACUCGCAGCUGCGCGAGGCCGUGGCUCGGCUCGGCUCCCGGCACCCCGGCGCGCGGAUCACCUACGCCGACCUGUACGCGCCGCUCAUCGGCUUCGCUGCGGCCCUGGCCCGCUACAGGUUCGACGGUGCGGACGGCGCGUUGCGGGCGUGCUGCGGUGGUGGCGGCGGGAGGUACAACUUCAACCUGAGCGCGGCGUGCGGGAUGCCCGGGGUGAGCGCAUGCGCCCGCCUGUCGGCGUACGUGAACUGGGACGGCGUCCAUCUCACCGAGGCAGCGUACCGCCGCGUCACCGAUGGCUGGCUCCGGGGUCCGUAGGCUAACCCGCCCAUCCUAAGCGCGGCCUAGCGAUGCACACCUGCUGUUAGAUGAUUAGAUUUUUUUUUACCGAAUAGAUGAUUAUCUUUGCGGUCUUAGAGCAACUCCAAAAGUCCUCUUAAAACAACCUGAAAACCAAAUUUAGGGAGAAAAAGAAAAAUUUCACGCUCCAACAACUCCCUUGUCGUUGCCUAAAAAAUACGGCAACCCGAAUCCGACCUCCAUUCUCCCGCAUAUUUACGCAAGCUGGCGCUUCCCCCAAUUGCCCCUCGUGCGCUCAUCCUUUCCUACGUGCCAGUUGUUUCCUGUUAGUGAUGGCACAGCCGAUUCCAGAAGGCGAGUGUCGGUGGUGAGCUGGGCGAAGGUGCCAUCCACUUUUCCCCAACUCCAAAUCGGCAGCAAUCAGCUCACCUUGGUUCCCAAAUCGGCGCAGCUAUCCUUCCAGCAGUAGCUACGACCCGCCUCCUCACCUCCUCUGCUCCCCGCCCACCGAAGGCCUACCUCCACUGCACCCGAGCGACCCCCCUUGUUGCGCCCUGGCAUCCACCUCCCUUCCUCCGCGACGUGGAGUCCGACCCGUAGGUCUCCCUCUUCUCCGGAGCAGCACGCGCAGAAGUAGCGGGAGAAGCGUGCGUGCCCGCUUGGGAGAGGAGUCCGCCGGUGCUGAUUUUCCCACUGCUCACGGACUGUCAAACUCAUGGUGAAAAGAUAAAGUGUUCCUCCUCUUGGGGGUGAUGGUCUAGCCAGGCGUCCGUAGCCAUGAGCGGCCGCACAUGGGCUGCCCAGUACCCCACGGUUGGGCAUGGCAUGGCACGUGGCCUAGAUGGGGAUGGGAUUCAACGGGUGGCGCUAGCGUAGUCCUCGUCCCUUGUCUGCUUCGCUUCUUCCAUAAAAUGGUAGAAGAUGUUUGGCUCUGCUUGUCUAGCAUUAGCUUCGGUUAACCUGUUUGUCUUCUCUCACAUGAAGCUAGAGUGUGAGGGACUUCAUGGACAGUGGCAUGCCAACAAGACCUGGGCAUGAGACGGUGCCGUGGUUUGAUCAUCGAAUGGAUCAUAAGCGAUCGAAUGCCUUCAGUGUUGAGAGUUUGAGGCCGAAUUGACAUCGUACCAGCAGAUGAUGAUGCUUUUCUGAGGGCAGGGCAGUCCCAGCGCAUAUAAUACGAUUCAGCAAAUCAUCACAGCCCAACCCUUGCACAGGCAGCCAGAGUGCGAAAGCGUGAAAACGCUCCGGCUGAGAAGGAGGCAACCCAACUCAGGGGUCACGCAUGCUGAUGUGGUACUGGAUAAUUUAUUAUUGGAAAUCUGCUGUGGGAUAGUAUGGUUUUAGGGAAAAAAAAAUUUAAUAGAAUCCCCAAUACAUGAUUUUGGGAAGGAAUUUUUUGCCAGACUCUUGGAGAUGGAGAUGCUCUUAGUCACGGAAAUAAACAGUUGCUGAGUUUUUUUUUAUUCUGAUUUUUGAGGCGUGACUAAACUUCUCAUGCCUACGACUCAUCUGCUCCGACUUGGAACAUACUGGGCCAGAUGGAGCCCGUGCAAGCAGAAAAUUGUCUGACUUAACAGCAAGCUGACAGCCACUGACAUGCCGGCCUGGAUUUCUGGGUCCCAUAUGUCAGUAGCAAAAUCCCUACUUGCAGAGUUGUAGUUAUGGGUCUUACGUAUCAGUAACAAGGUCAACGUGCAGAGCUGCAGCCUACUGGGACUCUGCUCGAGAGAGCACCAGGAAUCCGCUCCGCUGUCGCCCAUGGGUCAGGGACUCAGUAUCAGACCAUCGUUCAUGGGGCCAUGCCGCCAUGGAGAUGUUACCCCUCUCCAUUAUAGAUGGCCAAACGGGCGGCCCAGCCCGACCUGGCAUGAGCCCAAUUAGGCCCGGCCUGCUUAGGCCCGCACAGUAAUCGCGCCAGGCCGGGCCGGCCCACAUGCCGAAGAAGUAGCCCAGGUCCGGCCUGCUGCCUUCUUAGGCAGGCCGUGCCGACCUGCUGGCCCGGUGGGCCUUAAUAAGCUCGUCGUGCCCAUGCUGGCCCGCAGCACGGCUCCGGCUCCUCUUUUCCCCGCCGCGGCGCCACCGCGCAGUGGAGGGCCACGGUCCGGCCGGGGAGGCGGCGGCAGAGGGCCAUGGGACCGGCCGGGGAGGCGGCGGCGGAGGGGCACGGCUCUAGCCCCUCUUUUCCCCACCGCCACAGCUGUGGAGGGCCACGGGACCGGCCGGGGAGGCGGCGGCGGAGGGGCACGGCUCUAGCCCCUCUUUUCCCCACCGCCACAGCUGUGGAGGGCCACGGGACCGGCCGGGGAGGCGGCGGCGGAGGGCCACGGCUCUAGCCCCUCUUUUCCCCACCGCCACAGCUGUGGAGGGCCACGGGACCGGCCGGGGAGGCGGCGGCGGAGGGCCACGGGACCGGCGGAGGGGCACGGCUCCGGGGGUAGGGAGAGGCGUGAAGGCCGUGACGUGCGAGCGACCGGCCGGUCAGGCCGUCGGGGGCAGGGAGAGGCGGCGGAAACCGCGACGAGCGAGGGGCCGGCCAGCCGGGCCGCCGGGGGCAGGCCGGCAGGGGGAGGUGGCGGAGGCAAGGGAGGCGCGGAGGUCGUCGGGGCACGCUGGCAGGGGGAGGCGGCGGCACGGGAGGCGCGGAGGUCGCCGGGGGCAAGCCGGCAGGGGGAGGCGCGGAGGCAGGAGGAGGUGGCGGAGACGGAGGCAGUGCGGCUGUGCGGGAGUGCGGGGAGACCGGGGAGGCGGCUCGAAGUCGAAGCAGUAGGAGCGGAGGGGUUCGGUGUGGUGCGGGACUAAGGCAAGCCUGGCAGGCCGUGCCGCCCGUUUAUGGCCCACGAGCCAAAUGGGACAGGCUGUGCCGGGCCAGCCCACGGGCUGAGGCAGCGGCCCAGGCCCGGCCCGUCCUGUAGGCCGGGUCGGCCCGGCUUGCAAGGCCGCCGUGCUGGGCCGGGCCUGUAUCGAGCCAAAAUGUCGUGCCGUGGGCCAGCCCACGGGCCACGGGCCAAAUGGAAAUCUAUACUCUCCAUGCAGCGCAUCGUCAGCAAGAACAGUUGCUCGGAAGCCAAGGUCGGCCAUGCUUGAUCGUUUCAGUACGACUGUCUCAGCAUGCUGAUGUGUCAAGGCGGCGGAGGUUCAGUUCAGCUUCAGCUGAUGGAAGGGAAGGAGCCGGGACAGAGAAGCUCGAGAAGUCGAGAGGAGGAAGACGGAUAAUGAUUGGUCCCGGCUUCCUUCUUUAAUUUACAUUCUUAUAUAAAUCUGAAAUAAAAUUGGGUCCCACGCUCGUGACGAUGAUAUUCCCACUUUGAGCGUCGCUGCGUUGGGCGUUGACACAGAUCCCAUCGCCACAAACACGAGCAGAAACCUGCUGCUGCGUUUUCUUUCGGAAGGGACGGGAGCCUGAAACUCUGAAAUCUCUGAAUCCCUUUCUUCGAUCAGAUCGCGGAAGGUUGUCCACAAUGCGGCUCGUAGUCGUAGCUCUCUCCUUUCAGGUCCUCCUGCUACUCUGUAGCUUCUCCUUCUCCAUCCGAACCAACUACACCUCCAUUUUUAGCUUCGGCGACUCCUUCACUGACACUGGCAACUUCGUGAUCAUCGGCGGCCCAACGACACCCAAUCUGCUUAUAAUCAACCCGCCGUACGGGAUGACCUUCUUUGGCCACCCCACCGGACGCAUCUCUGAUGGGAGAUUGGCCAUCGAUUUCAUUGGUAAGUUCUGUUUCCUUCAGGCUAGCAAGAAUGUACUAUCAAACUAAUGGUCGGCUAGUUUGAUGUGUGUUAAAUAUACGCAGCUGAAGCGCUUGGGCUCCCUCUCCUUCCGCCGUCCAUGGCGGUGAACCAGAGCUUCCGGCAAGGCGCCAACUUCGCGGUGGCCGGAGCCACGGCGCUGGACCGGGAAUUCUUCGUGCGGGACGGCGACACGAGCGUUACUAGGUACAACAUCUCCCUUGGCGACCAGCUCGCGUGGUUCGACGCCAUGAAGCCAUCCCUCUGCGGCUCACCCCAAGGUAACUAGCUAUCGACACACCGUGCCACUCGGGAGGAAUUCUAACCUGACACGCGCGCCCUGCAUCAUUGCCAUGCCAUCUCUGCUAGCAUGCCAGGAGUACUUCGCGCAGGCGCUGUUCGUCGUCGGGGAGUUCGGCUGGAACGACUACGCGUUCAUGCUCAUGUCCGGCAAGAGCAUCGACGAGGCGCGGACUCGCGUGCCGCAGGUUGUCGGAACAAUUUGUGCUGCCGCGGAGGUACGCGACGCGGCGUUCGCCCAUCAUCAGCUGCUACAAUUUCUAGAUGUGAUCGAAUAAAGUUACUCCGUUGCUGCGCGCAGAAACUGAUCGGCGAAGGCGGCAAGACGGUGGUGGUGCCGGGGGUGACGCCGCUGGGUUGCUCGACGUGGAACCUGGUGCGCUUCGCGAGCCAGAACGCGGACUACGAGCCGGACACCGGAUGCCUCAAAGGCAUGAACCGGCUGUCCAGGGAGCACAACAAAGAGCUCCGACAGGCCCUGGCGCGGCUCCGCGGCAGAUCCCCCGCCGGCGUGCGGAUCGUCUACGCCGACUUCUACGCGCCCAUCGUCGACUUCGCGGCGGCGCCGGGUCGCUACGGGUUCGACGGCACGUACGGCGCGCUGCGGGUCUGCUGCGGCGACGGCGGCGGGAGGUACAACGUGAAUUUGAGCAUGGCGUGCGGGACGCCGGGCGUGAGCGCCUGCCCGGAUCCGUCGGCGUACGUGAACUGGGACGGCAUCCACCUCACCGAGGCGGCGAACCACCGCAUCGCCGAUGGCUGGUUCAGGGGCCCCUACGCUCACCCGCCCAUACUCAUGGACACGUAAUUAGCAGGCAUACCCUGUUUUAUUUGUCGCCGCUUUUGUUGGAAAAAGUGAAUUUAUGGCUUUGCAUUCCGAUUUCUCAAGCCUGCAUAUUUAGUACCUUUUCAAAAUUGUGUUGUACAGUACCUUUUUUUAGAUUGACUAGGCAACAUUUGAGUAAAAUUCACAUUUGUCUCGGUCGAAUAAAAACAUGCCACGUGCCUGGAUUAAGGAGAUGGAAAUCAUCGAUUGACAGCAACAACAAAAAAUCAAUCGAUUCUGAAAAAACGAUGUACAGAAAUGUCACGACUAGCCUCCACUUUCGGCCUCCUGUUGCUCUCCCGGUGGACGCUGUGGGGCAGAGCCACAGAGCGCGGAGGCCAAUGGUGUUGGUGGCGGCGGACACUGAGCCGUCCGGGCGCAAGUCGCACAGGACGGCGGGAUCAGUUCCUCGUGGAAGCAACCGAGGACAUUGCGGUUGAGGAGCCACGGGCGACGGACUGGCGGUAGAGUGCGGUGAGCACGCCGAGGCGCCAUGGACUGGACAGCGGACCGGCGCGGCGGCAAGAGGCAUCGGUGGUUGCGGACGAUGUCGACUUCGGCAAGAGGAGUACAACCCGGCCGGCAAAGAGCUCGUCGGCGCAGGAGGGCGAGGCGGCGGGGUUGGUGUGGAGCGGCCAGAACUCCAACUUCGGGGUCGCGGAGGAGGACAUGCGGCUCUUCCUCACCUCGACGGCUUUCAUGGCUGGCUCCGGGACCCGUACGCACACCCUCCCAUCUAUUGCGUCAAUGGUUCUCAGAGCAAAUAGGAAAGGACGUCCAUCAAUUCAAGGUGGGCUGUCCUAGUCCAACUACCUGGGCCGUUCGCCAACUCCUGGCCCUUCCAACACCCACCACUGCUUGGGCCGGAAGCAGUCCAAGUACAACGUGGUUGAGGCCCAGCCCAUUACUGUAUUAUUGCAAGGUGACGACCGUGGCUUAGACACCGACACGCGGGCCUGGGUUUCAUGGGUCCCGUAUGUCAGUACACUUUGAGACGUUGACUUUCUACUUCAGAUCUGAACCAGAACCAUUAUUGCAAAAAAAACGAGCAGAAACCUGCUGCCGCAUUUCUUCCUUUGGAAGGGACGGGGGUGCCUGAAACUCUCGCUAUCGGAAACUCGAGAGGUCGAGAGGAGGAAGACGAAUAACGAUAGGAUAGGAAGUGAUUGGUCCCGGCUUCCUUCUUUAAUCUUCGCGUUGGGUCCCACACUCGUGACGAUAACGAUAGGAUUCUCACUUUGAGCGUUGGUCGUUGACACAGAUCCGCCAAAUAUGCUGCUGCGUUUUCUUCUUUUGGAAGGGACGGGAGCCUGAAACUCUGAAAUCUCUCUCCCGAACCCCUUCUUCGAUCGGAACGUUGCCCACGAUGCGGCUCGUAGCUCUCUUGUUUCAGGUCCUUCUGCUACCCUGGAGCUUCUCCUCCUCCAUCCGAACCAACUACACCUCCAUUUUUAGCUUCGGCGACUCCUUCGCUGACACCGGCAACUUCGUGAUCAUCGGCGGGCCGACGACACCCGAUCUGCUGAUAGCAAAGCCGCCGUACGGGAUGACUUUCUUUGGCCACCCCACUGGCCGCAUCUCUGAUGGGAGAUUGGCCAUCGAUUUCAUCGGUAAGUUCCUUUUCCUUGUGGCAAGCAAGAAUGUACUAACAGAUAGCUAAGUUUGGGGAUUAGAUUAACUGCAAACACCCCUGAUGGUCGGCUAGUUUGAUGUGUAUUAACAUGCUAGUACGAUACGCAGCUGAAGCUCUGGGGCUCCCACUCCUUCCGCCGUCCAUGGCGGCGAACCAGAGCUUCCGGCAAGGCGCCAACUUUGCGGUGGCCGGAGCCACGGCGCUGGACCGGGAAUUCUUCGUGCGGGACGGCGACACGAGCGUCACUCGGUAUAACAUCUCCCUCGGGGACCAGCUCGGGUGGUUCGACGCCAUGAAGCCAUCCCUCUGCAGCUCACCCCAAGGUAAUAUAAUUAGCACGCGACACACCAUGGCACUCGGGAGGAAUCCUGUUAUCCAGAGCUGACACGCGCGCGCUCUGCAUCGUUGUUAAUUUGCCAUCUCUGCUAGCAUGCCAGAGGCACUUCGCGCGGGCACUGUUCGUCGUCGGAGAGUUCGGCUGGAACGACUACGCGUUCAUGCUGAUGGCCGGCAAGAGUGUCGACGAGGCGCGGUCUCACGUCCCUCAAGUUGUCAGAACGAUUUGUACUGCAGUGGAGGUACGCGAUGCGUUCGCCCGUGCUUUAUUUGCAUGAAUCUAGUUGCGAGUUGCGACAGUCAACGAGGCAAUAGAAUCAGAUCAAGUUUGCGCGCAGAAACUGAUCGGCGCAGGCGGCAAGACGGUGGUGGUGCCGGGGCUGACGCCACUGGGGUGCGCGUCGGGGAACCUGGUGCUCUUCGCGACCACGAACGCCGCGGACUACGAGCCCGACACCGGGUGCCUCAGGGGCCUGAACCGGCUGUCCAGGGAGCACAACCGGCAGCUCCGGCAGGCCCUGGCCCGGCUCCGCGGCAGGCGCCCCGGCGCGAGGAUCGUCUACGCCGACUUCUACGCGCCCAUCGCCGACUUCGCCGCGGCGCCGGUUCGCUACGGGUUCGACGGCACGGACGGCGCGCUGCGGGCCUGCUGCGGCGGCGGCGGCGGGAGGUACAACGUCAAUUUGAGCAUGGCGUGCGGGAUGGCGGGCGUGAGCGCCUGCGCGGACCCGUCGGCGUACGUGAACUGGGACGGCAUCCACCUCACGGAAGCGGCCAACCACCGCAUCGCCGACGGCUGGCUCAGGGGGCCCUACGCGCACCCGCCCAUACUCGACGUCAACACAUAACUACUGUAGCAGACACGAGACAGAGCCAGAUACAUGCCCUUUGUAUCGUCCGCGUGCCUCAUUUUGGGUUGAGUCAGAUGGUGAUAUCUUCCUCGUACNNNNNNNNNNNNNNNNNNNNNNNNNNNNNNNNNNNNNNNNNNNNNNNNNNNNNNNNNNNNNNNNNNNNNNNNNNNNNNNNNNNNNNNNNNNNNNNNNNNNCCCCCCCCCCCCCCCCCCCCGGUCGAUGACCACUUGGUCCCGACGUCCAUCUCCCUACUAUUGUUCUCUCUUCCUGCUGUUGUUCUCUCGGUUCAACCGUGUAACCUCGUGGUACUCUGAUGAACUUCUCCAAUUUUGAUUUGCGCCCAGGCCUCAUCUUCUCGGCAAAGGUACGAUCCUUGUUUGGAGCUCGAGUCUCUCCUCUUCCCUAUAUGUCUGCCCUAAGGUUCUAGCUUUUGGCUUCCUUUCCUCGAUCGCGCCUGAAAUUGUCUGUGGAGAAUGUGGGUCUUUUUUUCCAAUCGGUUCUUAGGGGUUUGGCUCCUCAUUUUGCUGCUGAAGAGAUAGAUGAUUGGGUUUUCAAGUUCUGCAUUUCCUCCAAAGAAGUUGGGCUGCUUGUCUACAAAUUGGGUCUCUUUCAGUGUGACACCUUCAAAGUGGUUUUCAAUCUUUGAAAUAAUCAUUUCAAAGUGGUUUUCAAUCUUUGGAAUAAUCAUGGCUUUUAGUUUGCAAAAACAAUGAUUGUUGAAGAUCAGGGUACUCAUUUCCCUUGGAACUUUGUUGAAUUCAGAAGAUCCAAAAAAUCUUUUUUUGCCUCAAUCUUCUCACCCAGGACAUACCCUAUUGACAGGAGCAUAUUCAAUCCCAGUUAGAUCUCCUGGUAUGAUCUCAAAGCAAUCCUAAAGCCACAAAGUGCGUCAGAAUUUUAUCUUCAGCCGUCUUGGUCAACAUUGGGCUCCGAAGGUUCCUGGUUCAGCGAAGAACACAGGCAAUCCUAUUAUUACAAAUUUAAAUCAGGCAGUUUCGGAUAUUGGUUUGACCCUUAACUUAGGGAAUUUUAACCAGUCAGUUCCAGGCACAGAAAUGAAUGCGUAAUCAAGUUUAGCGCAACAUUCAAAUCAGACAGCUAACAGGCCGGUGGGCUGCAUCAAUUGCACCCGCUGCUUCUCUUCUUCUUACUCGUGGGCCAAAUGUUUUAGUGUAACAUCCGUAAAAUUCACCAACUUAAAUCAUCCGCUAAAAGUUGUUUUCAAAAUCUUUUUACCGUUGAGCUCCCGAAAAUCCCAUCUUCCCGGCGAUUUCGCCGUCCCGGCACCCAAAACCAACAACCAUCAUUUUUAUCCUCUCCUCAAAUUUCAUCACGUGCCGGUCGACAAACCACCGCACGUGCUCUGACCAUUUCCCGUAAUCACCGCCGACUCUCCCUUUCUUUUCUCUCUGUUUUCCCCUUCUCCUUUUUCCCUUUUUCUUUUUCCUCCCUUUCUUCUUUCUUUCUUCCUUCUUCUCCCUCCUUCCUUCUUCUUCUCUCCUCAUCCUUCUUUUCUUGGCUGGUCACGCACGGCCCCAGGCCGUGGCUUCCUUCGGCGCCUGGCCCCCCCUGGCCGGCCACCUUUCCCCCCGGCCACGCGUGCCAGUGCCCCCAUGCCCACGUUGUCGGGCCCUACAUUGCGGCACCGCCGGCCACGCCGGCGCCCCUCGAGCCGCGCAAGCCACGACGCUCAGCCCCUGCACGCCCCAUCUGAUGAGGAUAUCACCUGCUCGGAUACAAUUGAUACACCACCUCCAAUGGUCGCUGCGAUCUUGUGGAGCAUGAUCAACCAAACCACUAGGGUAAUUCCUCCAAGCAAUCGAGGAACAAGCAAGAACUAGUAUAAAAAGCAACUCAAUUGCAAAUAUAGAGUUGGAAACCAAUCUGAACUCACAAAGUUGGGAUUCUGAAUCGAGUAGAAUGGAUGGUCUAGUCGACACACGCGUCUACAAGGAAGUAGCAAUGGCUAAACUUUCAACAAAACAAAACCCAAUCUAUUUGUGGUGGCUCUAAUCCUUAUUAAUACCUAGGAGGAUGACCAGGGGGGUGUUGGGGUCGUGCUUCAACCCUAGUACAUAUCCCUAAUGGAUCCAACUAGAUACACGGCCCAUUGGGUCAAAAUAAGGCGACGCAACACCUCUGGAUAUAAAACCUCUCGGUAGUAUUUCAAUUAUUGCGGCUGACUUAGAAUAGAUAUGGAUAUGAGUCUAGAUCCAUAUGAAAAUAGACUUCAUAAGGAUUCCAAGGAGUACUUGAACACCUAAAACAGAGUCCGGAUAAGAUCGUGGCGGGCGUUGCAAGUUAGGGUAGAGCUGCAGUCCGAAUCCAGCGCCAAAACGUGUUGGAUUGGAUCUCUUUCUUUCCUUGGGCUAAAAGUGACGUGGUGGCCUGGUGGAGGACGUUGGGAAUACUUGGACUUGGCCCCCAAUCAACUUCUUUUGUCCUCCGUACCUUCCAUGUGUGUUUAACACUAUUUUUGAUCCACGUAGAUAUUUCUGAAAUUGACAACGAACACACAUCAUGGUGCAACAUCAAUUCAUCAAAUGUAUCAAAGACAAUAAUGGUAAAGAAUUGUUUCACCUGUGAAUCAAAGUUACUAAUGUGGUUGUAUCCGAGCAGGUGAUAUCCUCAUCACCAUCCCCCACCACACAGCGCCGCACACCGUCGGCCCCUCCCCCGCCGACGACCCCUGCCGGCGCCGUGCCCCGCCGCUCGCCCGGCCCCCUCCCACUACACUGCCGACGGCCCCUACCCUACCACCGGCCGCCACUCGAGCUCGCCGGACCGGACUCCCACGUCGCCAUCGUCAUUUCCUUCGCCCGCCUGCUAUAAAAGGGCCUCAACGCCCGGCCUCCACACCCACUUCCCUUGCCACCAAGCUCCACCUCUCCAUGCGCAACACGCCGCCGCCAAGAGCGUCGCCCCCUCUCCCGUGCGCCGCCGCCUCCAGACCACCGCCAGCACCCCGUUCCCCGGUGCCACCCGCCCAAGGUAAGGGGCCAAAUGGGAUCCCCUCCCCACCUCCCUCUAUCUUCCCCCGCCGCUGGGCCUCACUGCCGGCGAGCCACGGCCAGCCGACCGCCACCGAGCCACCCUCCCCAUCCACCUAUGCGCACCCAACGAAGAAGAAAGAGAAAAACUCCUUCUCAUUUCGAUCUAACCCCCAUCUUUCUCUAUUUCGCAAAAUAGCCCUCCCACCUCUCUCCUACUCUUUUCACAGAACAACCCUUCCACCUUCCGAAAAUAUUUACAAACAAAUCCCUCGUUCUCGCUGUUUAGUCCUAAAACUUGUUUUAAGCCCCUAAAUACACAGUUAUCUCGUCAUUUCAUGCGCCAAACUUCCUCCAAUUAAUCCCAAAUUUUACCACAGCAUCCUCCAAUAUACUUUCACUGAAUCAUCUCCAAAUUUCAUGAAAAUACUCAUUCCUUCUAUUUUCCGUUCAUGUUCUCUGUUCGAGCUCAACGAGUAAAAUCUUAUUUUUCUUUUAUUUAUUGUGUGCCCAAUUGUGUGUGUCGUAGAUCGCGGAGUAACUGAGGAGGAGCCUGAGGAGGAGCCUGAGGAGGAGUUUGACCAUGAGCGUGAGCCCGAGGACCAGCACCGCGAGCAAGAACUCCCGGCCAACUACGAGGACGGCAAGUCCGAUAUUACCCUUUGAUGCAUAUUUAUCCUAGUUUUUCAAACACAACCUAUUGGCCUGUUUUAUAAAAUUGCAUAUUGUUUUACUGCUAAAACACGGUUGGAUAGCCACCAAUUGAUUUCUAUGUACAUUCCUUGAUUGUCCUAUAAUUAUCUCUAAAUAUGAUUUGCUCUGUUUGGAUGAUAAUUACUGCUAGAAUGCUUAGGAUCUUGUUACUCAAUUCAAUGAUGACUACAAUGCGCUUUGUUAAAGAAUAAAUGUGUGAGUGUUUUCAAAUGAGAAAAUGGGUAUUCAGAAAUAAAGGAAAGAAAUGCUUAGAUGAGAUGGAGGGGUGUUUCUUGUGUGAAAUGCCAAUAAGUUGGGCUCGUACCUUUGUGGUUGAGCAAGGUUGGGAGAUAUCUAUCUUGUCACAGUUAAGGACCGAGUUGAUGUGCCAUCUUGCCUAACGCACUAUUGUGCAACCACUCGACCAAUGUGUGGGUGGCGGUUUAGCAUAAAUCUCACUAGCUGGUCUAUUAGCCAUCAGGAGAGCUGGUGAGCAACGGGAGACCAUGGAGAAGGACUAAAAACUAUGUGAACUUAGAUCUUGGUUAAGACCUUGUUGGAAGGUCGUUAAUCCCUUAGUUGCUUCCGUGUUGGCUGGUCGGUGUUAUCUAAAGUGGGUAAUGACUUUGAUAGGAUAUGCACCAACACUAAGGUGAUCGUACUGCGGUACCCUACUUGUGGGUAAAGUGUACAACCUCUGCAGAGUUAAAACCUAUCCGAGUAGCUGUGUCCACAACAUUGGACAAGUUAUAGCUUGGACACAUAACCAGUGUUUGGGUGAUGGAUGGUUUUCAUGGCGUAAGUUGGAUUUUGGAAGUUUCCGGCAGUUGUGCCAUGAGCUACCGCAGACGGGGAGUCCGGUAGCAUGAAAACUUGGAUCCUUUGUGUAGGAUCAACCCCACCUAAUGAUUCGAUUACUAAAGAAAAUGUUUUGUGAAAACCCUUUUGAAAAUGAACCUUUGCAUGUGUUGAAAAACCUAGCUUUAUGGCAAAUAAACCCGAGCCUUAUCCUUGAUAUAUCCUAUGCAUAUUCUUGAUUGUAUCCCCCUCCGUGGAUGGGGUUGGACUUGUUGAGUACUUUUGUACUCACCCUUACUUUGUUGCUCUAGAGGAAGACCCGGACUUCAUCGCCAAGGAUCUCAAGUAGAAGGUCGCUUCCGCACCCAACGCUGCUUGUGGUGUUGGCCUUUGCAGAAUGCUUCCGUUGUCAUGUAGUCCCGAAUGUUUUCUCUUGACAGUAGCUUGGCUCGCUGCUGUUGUUUAUUUACUUAUCAUUUCGGCGUGGCUUUCGCACCCACUUCCUCGGGAGUUGUAUGGUUUAUGAAGCAUUUGUUGAAUAAAUGUGUUAUCAGCCUCCUGGGACUGGUAUUUGUAUCACAUUUAGUCUCCGCUGAUGUGGGGACGCUUCAUUUAGACCCAUCUGUUGUGGGCUUUGUUUCAAACUGGGCCAUAUUGCUAUCCAUUGCCAGUUUCUGCCUCGAUUUUCGGGUCUUUCCCAGGACGGAACAUUCUCCAUAGCUGUGAAAUCGGCCGACUGGGAGUGUCUUAAUGUGGACAAAUGGUUCACUGCUGCAACCUCUAUGACUGAUGGGACCAAUCUUUGUGGACCCCCCCGUGUACGCGAGCUUACAGGACAUGGGUCAUUCCAUUCUCGGUGUAAAUCCUUUUGUGCCAAAGAUGACCAUUACCUAGAAUUGCUCCUCUCAGACCGCAGUCAUCGGAGAAGACGUCUCACCUUCCUUGCGAUCCUUGCUACCAUCGCCGCUGCCUCCCUCGCUCUUUUCACCCUGCUCUACCAGUGAGGAACCCAAGGCUUUCCUCCUCCUCCCGCUCCAAGCAGCAUUGCUCCAUGUCGCUUUCUACAUUGCGCCUCUAAAAACUGCAACUUUAUAGUAAACCCGCUGCAAGAAUCAGGCCCUCUACCGGAUUCGAUCAUAGCCUACAAGGUUGUGGAUCCUGCCCCAUUCAUACCAAGAGGAUGCCACCGUCAGCUGGUUGGUUUCAGGAAGUCAAUGUCCCGAGUUGUGCUUGGAGGGCCGCGCAGGAAAAACAAUGGUGUCGCCAUUAUCUCCAUUGAACCUCUGCCGAACCAACAAGUAUCCUUCCAGUCCAUAAGAGAGUUGCUUGAUGACUUUCUGAGAAAUCAUCGUAGAGUUGCUUUUCACUCCAUUCAACCCUGCCCUUAUGGUCAAGCUUAUGUGAGAUUUCACUUUGUUCAUGACAAAGAUUUCCUCAUCAGUGGUAGCCCCCAUGAGUAUGGUAACUACAGAAUUUCAUUCACUGAGCAUAAUAGGGGUUGGAAUGAUAAGACCAUAACUAUGAAUUGUGAAGUUUGAAUCAUGUUGCUGGGGUACAACAUUGAUUACUAGACCAAGGCAGACAUAAAGAAAAUUGUGUCUGAAUUUGGCAGACUGAUAGUUUGGGAGAAAGAUCCUAAUAAUUUGGCAAGAAUUGUGGUUAAGGCAAAAGUGGUUGAUUUAUCUAAAAUCCCAUGGUUUCUAGUUUGUUCUAAAGGAGAGGACUUUGAAGGUAGUUCAUGGACAGUACAGUGUGAAAUUCUCCAGUAUAGGAUGCUUGGAGGAGGUCCUGUUGAUGAAGAACAACCCCCUAGUGAUGUUGACCCCAACCUCUUUGAUUUAUUUGGCUAUAGACAACCUAGUAAUGCAGGACCUGCAAAUCCUAAUAUCAACAAUAACCAAAAUGCUAAUGAAGGUCCUGCUACUCAAUGGGGAUUAUGGCCUAAUAGGCCUCAAGCCCAAGCAGAUGAACCUUUUAUUGGGCCUCAGAUGGGUCAAGCAGCUCCAGAUGGUCCAUUAGCUCAACUUGCUCCUAAAAAUGUUAAUCCUUAGACCAUGACUUUCUAGAAGUUAAUGAUUUGGUGUUGAAUGGGAAUCAGGUUGACUUUGAUCUGAAUAUGGCAGUGGAAGAAGAUCUAGGAGGAAUUGAGAACUUUCUUCAAGCAGCAGAGAAUUUGGAAGCUAAAAUUCAUGAAGACCCAUUACAGAUCAUUGAUGCAAUAAAUUCUUCUGACAGCUCUAUGGACAAUGCACCAGUGCAGAAUUUGGGUGAUGAACCAGUGCAGGUUGAAGUUUUCAUCCCGUAGGCACAUGGUCAGCCACUUCACAUGGUUCAAGAGGACAUCAAUGAACAGGACCUCAUGGGAGGAGACCCUAAUCAGGAUUUGCAUCAGGAAAGUGGGAACAAUAAUAUGUAGCUGGGCAUUGUUGAAUUUUUAGAACCAAGUCAAGAUUCUGUCUUUGCUGAAAUGAUUACUUCAAAGCAGCAGGGACUUUUUCAUCCAAAUCCUGAAGCAAUUCGACAGUGGGCAAAGCACUUUUCUCCAAGAGUGUCUUCUCAACAGGUGGAUAUCCCUCUGCCAUGGACAGAUUUCUUCACUGCACAACUCAUGAAUCCUUUGAGUUUUUUAUGGGCUAAUACCUUCCUGACGUCCCCAGCAUUGUAGUUUCUUCAGUCAGAGCAUAGUUCAAUGAAGCUCGGUCUACCAGAGAACUGUCCAUACAUAGAAACUCCUGUCUGCUCUGCUGACCAUAUGUUCAAAAAGGGUUCUAUGGAUAAAUGCAAGGAAAUAAUUUUUGAGGGCAACUCUCUUGAGAAUAUUGCUAGCUCAUCCAAGGUUCCACUUGUUACCUCUAUCACUGCAAACACUGCAAUUGCUCCUCUUCUAGCUUCUACCGGUGUAGGCAAGGAGACCUCACAUGGUACACUUGUGGAACCCAUGUUACAAAAGGUUGCCUCUUCUCCUGGCCCAUGGUCUAAAGCUCUCCUUGAUUAAGAUGCACACAUCAAGAAACCUUCAAAGGACAUGGUAGGCAAGAUUAUCUCUUAGGAUGAUCUUAGAAGGACGAAGAGAAACCAGAGCAAUAAUCAAGGCUUCAAAGCCUCAGUGUGUAAUGAUAAAAACUGCAUUAGUUGUUCAGUGGAGCCUCCAUCCUUAACCAAAUCAGUCAUUAGAAAUCUUGGUGAGGCCUUCUACAAAGUGGAUCCCUCCAAGCUCACUAUUUGUGCCCUCAACAAGAAAAAGACAAUAGCUCCCCCAGGUCGAAAGAAGCUACCUAAGAAGAAAUUUGACAAUAACAAUGAUGGUGCUGAUGCUCCAAAGAUCAUAAAAAAAGCCUAAGAAGUAGUAGAGAGUGGUCUGAGCACAUGGCCUCUCUCUUAUCUAUCUGGUUUUAGCAUCAGUGAUGUCCACUUAAUGCUCUGGUUCUUUUGGUCAUCUAUGUAUAAAUUCAAAUAUGAACUCUCAAUAUACUAAGAGAUUGGGGAAAGUUAUGUGCUGCAAUGUUAGGGGCAUCAAUUCUACAAAAAAUGGAAUUAUGUGAGGGAUAAAAUUACUGAAAGCUAGUGUGACAUUCUGUGUUUACAAGAAACUAAGAAAGAACUCAUAAACUCUAUGUUUAUUAGAAAAUUCUACCCCGCUUCCUUUGAUAAGCUUGAAUUCUUUCCCUCUCAAGGGGCCUCUAGUGGGGUAGCCAUUAUUUGGAAAUCUGCCUUAUUUGAGGGCCAACUAGUGUUCAUGAAUGAGUUUGCUGUCUCUGUUAAGUUCAACUCAACAAUCAACAAUUGUGAAUGGGUGCUUAAUAAUAUUUAUGGUCCAUGUUCAGUGGAGUGAAAGAGAGCCUUUAUGCAGUGGUUCAAGAAUAUUCAAAUGCCUGAGGAUAUUGAUUGGUUGGUCUUAGGGGAUUUUAAUUUAAUAAGAGAUCCAACUAACAGAAAUAAGCCUGGGGGAAACUACAAUGAAAGGUUCAUGUUCAAUGAAGCCAUUAGUGUUAGAGUUUUAUACCCGGCAACCUACUGAGGGGUAUCCCAAGGUAGUAGAUUGGUUGGUGGGGAAUCGUCGAACCUGGAACUUGAAGAUAAAAGCGAGAACACAAGAUACGAAUUUAUACAGGUUCGGGCCAUCAGAGUAGCGUAAUACCCAACGUCCCGUUUGGGGUGUUGUCUAUUGCACCCUACGCUUGGGUGUUGUUUGGUGUUGAACCCCUUGGUGGUUCUGAGGGGCUCUCUGUUGUCUCUAAGCUGCUGAUCUAGGUACCCCGGCCCUUCUUUAUAUACUUCAGGGGGCGCGAUUACUAGUCGGUUACAAAGAGGAGUCCUAGUAGGAUUGCAUGGUAUGAGUCCUAGUAGGAUUACAGAGGAAUCCUAUUAGGAGUCCGUCUUCUUCCUUCCUUGCGGGUACUAGGGAUCUAUCCCCGACAAGCCCUCGAGCACUUCAUAGUCGAAUGCAACAUUCUUCGAGUACUUUUAAGAUCCUCGUCGAGUAGUUCUGGUGCUCUUCGAGUACUUGUCUAGCUGAAUCUUCAAAGUUCCUCAAAACUGCCAUGAGGCUUUUGUGUGCUCAAGCCUUGAUCAUCUUGAUAUUUUUACCUUCAUAUAUGGAGGGCGGCGAAAGUCGCACUUCAUAUGGAGUAGCCCCGAUCCUUAGGUUGAAUCGAAGAAUCAGGCUAAGGGUCAAUAAAAUCUUGAAUCUUCUUUUUUUAUCUUGAAAAAAUUAACUAUUGGGUGUAGCUUAUCAGCCCCUGAGCCUUAGAUUAAUUGUAUAACCAAUUCAAGGAUCUUGAAUCUUCACGCAUGUCAUCAUCCAAGUAGUUUUGCGGUGUCCAGCCCCCAAUCUUAUGCGCCAGGUGAGCCGGAGGAGCCACGUCGAGUACUUAUUGGCGCUUAGCCCCCGAGCUUGGAAGCUAGCUGAGCCAUUGAAGAUAUUCCAAGCAGUAAUGGUGCUUAACCCUGAGCCUGGGAGCUAGCGGAGCCACUUGAAGUAUUUUUGAGUAGUAAUUGGUGCUUAGCCCCCAAGUUUGGGAACUAGAUGUGCCUUUGGAGGUACGCUUAGCAUCCUAAGUGUCGUCACCGAAGCUUGACCUAAAAGAAAAGAUGCAUACAUUAUGUAGCUAUUUGUAGAAUAUUGAAAACGGAUGAACUUUAUUUAGUGAUCAACAUAAUGUAAAUGUUAUGUGUCAUGCACUUGUUUCAGCCAUAUUUCUCUCGAGUAGUUAGUCUGUUAUAUUUAGACUCUUAAUCUCUGUUUAGCCGUAGCCACUGCGUGAUGAGAUCUUUGUCUCUUGUACGUGUACGGGCACUGUUGUUUGCACAACUGAGAUCUUUAUCUCGUGUAUGUGUGCUAGCAUUUAAGCAUGAUAGAUGAUCCAAGGCUUUCAUGAAUUAAGGUGUGUUCUACUCAAGAAGAUUAGUGACCUUAAGAGGAGAUAAAAAUGAGUAGUCGGUAUUGCGACAAAAGAGACUGCACGAUUGUGCGUAAGAGUGCUGCCCUCCGGCGAGUAGAGCACGUGUUGUGCGCAAGAGUUUGCUGCCCUCCAGUGAGUAGAGCGCAUGUUGUGCGCAUAAGAUUUGUGCCUCCUUAGGGUGUAGCUGUUGUGAGCCUCCAGUAUUUAAUGCAUCAAAUCUGUGGCUAUUGCCUCCAAAAUUCGAUGUACCAAACCCGUGACGGUGCCUCCAAAACUCAGUGCAUCAAACCCAUGGCCGUAGCCUCCGUAAUUUGGUGUACCAAGCUUGUGGUUGUUGGUCAACACGCCCUAGGAAUAGUUGGCAAAGUGUAGCCCUGUAGGGUAAUUCCCGUUCAAGAGACGUUCUUAAAUGACAAAUUACAAACCCUUCUUCAUCAAAAAAAAAGAUAUUGGAAGCAAAGAGGGGCCAUCAAAUGGGUGAAAUUUGGAGAUGAAUCCAGAAAGUUUUUUCAUGCCAAUGCAACCAUUAAACAUAGAAAAAUUUCAUCAGGAACUUGGAAGAUGCAAAUGGAAACCUUCAAUCAAAUCACCAGAUCAAAGAAUCAAUACUAUGGGAAGCAUAUAAGGAAAGGCUGGGCACUUCAGAUUCACACCCUAUGGCUUUUAAUCUUCAACAAUUUCUUCAGAUAUUUGAUAUUCUUCAGUGCCUAGAGGAACCAUUCAGUCAUGAAGAGAUUGAUCCUGCUGUUCAAAAUCUAUCUAAUGACAGAACUCCUGGUUGGAUUUAAUACAAACUUCAUCAAUAUAUGUUGGUCAAUUAUUAAACAAGAUUUUUAUGAUCUUUGUGAAGACUUUCACUCGGGCAACAUAUGCCUUCAAAGUAUAAAUGGUUCUUAUAUCACUUUAAUACCAAAAGUGGAUGGUGCUGCUUAAGUAACAGAUUUUAGACCAAUUUCACUUCUCAACACCUCUAUGAAGCUUCUGACUAAGCUUCUUGCCAACAGGUUACAGAAGGUCAUUAUGGAUAUAGUUCAUAAAAAUCAGUAUGGGUUUAUCAAGUCAAGGACAAUUCAGGACUGUCUAGCAUGGGCUUUUGAGUACUUGCAUUUAUGUCAUAAAUCUAAAAAGGAAAUUGUUAUUUUAAAGCUAGACUUUGAAAAAACUUUUGAAAGAGUUGAGCAUGAAGCUAUGUUGGACAUCAUGAAGCAUAAGGGCUUUGGGACAAUUUGGCUGAACUGGAUGCAAAAGAUUUUUAGCUCAGGAACCUCCUCCCUCUUGCUAAAUGGAGCCCCAAGGAAAAGGUUUCACUAUAGAAGGGGAGUUAGGCAGGAAGAUCCCCACUCCCCUCUUCUGUUUGUCUUGGCAGCUGAUAUAUUGCAGUCUCUGCUGAACAAUGCAAAGAAUCAGGGACAUCUACAACUGCCAAUUCCACUCACUUAUAACCAUUACUUCCCUAUUCUUCAGUAUGCAGAUGACACUCUGAUCAUAUUGGAAGGUUGCCCCUCUCAACUGCAGCACCUCAAAAUAAUUCUACAAUCUUUUACCCUAUCCACAGGCCUUAAAGUUAACUACAGUAAGUCCAUGAUGGUGCCCAUUAAUAUUAUUGAAGACAGGUUGCAAGUGCUCUGUCAAUUGUUUGGUUGUGCAAUUUGAAAAAUACCUUUCACAUACUUGGGGCUGCCUCUCGGCCUUAAAGAGCCUAGAGUAGAAGAAGUCCUCCCAAUGUUCUCUAGAUGUGAAAAGAGGCUUGUCAGCACAUCUAAUUUUCUAUCCCAAGCAGGACGUCUUCAGUUAAUUAAUUCAAUCUUCACUGCUCUACCUAUGUUUCAUAUGUGUACAUUCAUUCUACACAAAUCAGUAUAUAAGCAGAUUGAUAAGUAUAGGAAGCACUGCUUUUGGAGAGGUUUAGACAUUAACAACAGAACAUCACCUAAAGUAGCAUGGGAGAUGGUCUGCCUUCCAAGAAAGAAGGGGGUUUGGGAGUCUUGAAUCUCAAAACACAAAAUGAAGCUCUAGUGCUCAAAUUUCUGCAUAAAUUUUUUAACAGAGCAGAAAUUCAUUGGGUGCACUUGUUGUGGGAAAAGUACUACACUAACUGUAAAUUACCAAUUCAGGUGAGCAAAGGCUCUUUUUGGUGGAAAGAUGUCCUAAAGCUUUUGCACAAAUACAAAGGUCUUGCAGUGGUAUCAAUUAAUGAUGGACACACAUGCUCUCUAUGGAAUGAUCUAUGGAAAGAUCGAGUACCAUCUCAGGCAUAUCCUCAGCUAUUCUGUUUCACUAAGAAGCAGGAAAUUUCUAUUCAGAGAGCUCAAAAAUAGUAGAUGUUCAACACUUGUUCCACCUUCCUCUUUCACCUCAGGCUCUCCAGAAGCUGAUUCAUCUGGCUGCUAGUUUGGAGGAUUUAGUCUUAAAUAAUGAACCGGACAUAUGGACAUAGGGCAAUCCCUUUUAUUCAUCAUCAAAAGCUUAUCGUCAUCUCUCUGGUCAUAGACAGGUACAUCGAGUUUUUCAUUGGCUCUGGAAAUCGCGCUAUUAGAACAAGCAUAAGGUUUUUUUCUGGCUAGUACUAAAGGACAAACUAAGCACAAGAAACGUUCUUAGAAGAAAGAAUAUGGUCCUCCCUUCAUAUGAAUGUGUACUCUGUCAAUAUGGACAUGGAGGGGAAGAAACGUUAUUUCAUCUACUGCUUGAAUGCCCCUUUGUUCAGGAAUGUUGGAUUCAUAUAGGUUUGUUCCCUAACUUGUCUUAUGAACCAUAUGAAAUUCUAAACAGCUUCAGAAUCCAGCUGCAGGUUCAAUUCUAUAUGGAAAUUAUAAUCAUCAUGAGUUGGAGUAUUUGGAUGGCCAAACAUGAUUGGAUCUUCAAAGGGAUCACUCCUUCAGUACAGGACGCCUUGUUUUGCUUUAAAACAAUUUUUACUCAAGUUAUUCUUAGAGUAAAAGAAGAUUGGAAACAUAUUAUAUCUUCAUGGCUAGAGCAGACAUUGUAAUCUUUCUUUGUUUCUUAAUUUCUUCUUGUACUCUUUUCAUAGUUAAUAUAUAUAAUAUAUAACCAGCAGGGGACCUCCCACUCCUGUUUGCUCAAAAAAAAUGAGACAGUGCCUGCUUUAUUUCUCUUUUUUUUUCUUUAAAAAAUAAAUUAAUUCCUCAUUUUGCCUUCUGAUUCCCACGAAGGGUUUUUUUGGUUGAUUUUGUAUCUGAAAAGAAUAUUUGGUAAAUGAAGCUUUUUCGAAACACAAUACAUACGCAAACACUCACAUACAUGCACGCACACUUAACCACUCACAUACAUGCACGCACACUUAACCUUAUGAAUACAUGCAUGCAACGCUACCUUAUGAGUACCUCCGAGAUACUGAGCUGGCAAAUUCUCGAGAUUGACGAAGUCAUCACUUGCGUCUCGCUAUCGAGGAGCACGUCGUCUACCACUGAAAGAAUAGUGUCUGUUAAAUCCUGAAAUUCAUCACUGACGCCUCACUAUCGACGGGCACGUCGUCUACCAUUGAAAGAAUAACACUGGUUAAAUCUUAGAAUAAAUCCAAAAAAUAUGAGCAUCAGUGUUGAGUCGAGGACUCGAACUCUGGUGGCAGGUUUCACCACAAGUAACCUCACCGGCUGAGCUCGCUCAAUUUGCAAAUGAAGUUUUUUAUUGAUAAAAGGCUGCGUACUUAUUUGAACAAAACUUUAAUAGCGGAUUUAACAAAUCCAUCAAUUUACCAUGGCCUGCAGAUGGAACCCCACCCAACUGGGCCGUGGUGGAGCCAGGCCGUCUGCUUGGGAGAGGACAGGGAUUCCUCGCCACGCUGAUCUUGCUUGGGAGUGGCGCUGCUGCUGGGUGGCAAUGGCUGCUGACCGAGCGCGACUGAGAGAGAGACCCGACUUGUCCUCCAUGCAGCGCAUCGCCGUUCCAACGAUCACGACAUGGCUGGAUGGGCCCUCCAGCCCCAGCGUGGGAAAAAGGCCCAGAAUAAUAAGAUACUAGUAUCCUGGAAAGCUGGCAGACAAGGACAACCUUGAUCGCAGUAUAGUGUGUUAGGGUCUCUUGGGUAAUCUAAUCUUGCGCGGCAGCGGCGCACGGACAGGUUGAUCCGCUCGAUUAUUGUAUUGGAUGCUCUGAAGCCUCUGAUCUUGCUGGUCUCUGAGAUUUGCUUGCUAAACGCCAUUGGCAUGGCGAUCCGGAGAUAGCAUGGCAAUCAUCAAUCAAGCUGGUUCAGUAUGAAUACUGAGCAUUUUGAUCCCUGCUGCUGAGAUCUCCUAGCUCGCACAGUGUUGCGUCAUGUGGUCCCAGUAUUCUUGGAGUCCACGUGGCAGACUGCCAUUUACGAGCCUCAUGAAUGCUCAUUAAGGAGCAGUAAUGGAGCUCAUGAAUGGUUCCGCGACAGUCGUUGUAAUCAAAUGAAACAGCCCAGCAGCAUUGUCUAUCCAUCCAUUCCAUUUCCAUGGACAUGGACGAGUGCUACCGGAAAAUCGGUCUCCCAUCUAGGAUUUUUUUUUAAAGGGACGACAGCGAGGAAUGUCCCGAGAGGCCGAGAUGAGCGGUAAACGGGAACAGAGAGAGAAAGAGAUAAAUUGAGGUUUGGGAGCGAGCGUCAGGCUCCGGAAAUCGGAAUCACGUGUGAACCUGCCAUCAACCGUCCUUUGGCUCAGGGCUACUGGAGUGCAGUGGCCGGAGUGGCUGUGGCUCUCCGCUCUCCCCUCCACCCACCUCCUGCUCACUCAGAUUUGCCCCUCACCAUUUACUCCCCCACCUACAAUAUCAAGCCAUCCGCCAUUACUGACCUGAGCCCAUCGCCCUUCGCAACGCGGAAGCGCCACCACCUCAUGCCGCUCCCGGCCUACCCUGCUGUGCUGCUACUAGUACUAGCAGUGUGCCAUAGCUAGCUGCUAGCGCCACUAGCAGGCUACAGUCGACAGCCACUGCCACCGCUCCCUGCGCCUGCGCAGCUCUGCCACUGUACAGUACCACCAGCGCCCUGCGGCCGCGUUCCCAUGGCGCCCUCCGGCAAUCUGCUGCCCGCGCUCGCCGCCGCUUUCCUCUGCUGCGCCCUCGCGCCGGUCGCCCAAUGCGGCGGCGGCGGAGGCGCCCCGCAGAACUACACCUCCAUGUUCAGCUUCGGCGACUCGCUCACCGACACCGGCAACCUGCUCGUGUCCAGCCCGCUCUCCAACCACAUCGUCGGCCGCUACCCCUACGGCAUCACCUACUUCCACCGCCCCACCGGCCGCUGCUCCGACGGCCGCCUCGUCGUCGACUUCCUAGGUGCGUCCUGCCGCCGGCGCCGGCCAUUAAUUAAUGCCGCCUUGAUUUCAUUCUCGUGCGUUUCCGUGCCGGUCCUGAUGGUGUCUCUUCCCUGCGACGGCCGGCCGUACGCGCGCAGCGCAAGCGUUCGGCCUGCCGCUGCUGCCGCCGUACCUGCAGUCCAAGGGCAAGGACCUCCGCCGGGGCGUCAACUUCGCCGUCGGCGGCGCCACCGCCAUGGAUCCGCCCUUCUUCCAGGAGAUCGGCGCCUCCGACAAGCUCUGGACCAACCUGUCCCUCAGCGUCCAGCUCGGAUGGUUCGAGCAGCUCAAGCCGUCGCUCUGCAGCUCGCCAAAGAGUCUGUCCACAUUCGUUUUCCCAUUAAGAUUUUGCCUUUGCAUUUCGGAUUCUGCUCCUGAAUAAAACUGAAGCGCUGAUUGCAAAUUUGAUUACUGCCCCCGAAUCGAAACAGAGUGCAAGGAGUACUUCAGCAAGUCCCUGUUCCUGGUCGGAGAGAUUGGGGGAAAUGACUACAACUACGCGUUCUUCAAGGGCAAGACCCUGGACGACGCCAAAACUUACGUUCCCACGGUCGCCGGCGCGGUCACCGAUGCCACUGAGGUCACCAAAUCUAGCAUCAAGCUCUCCAUUGUUUAUUUCUUCACACGAUUCGAUCGUCACUAAACAAUUGCAACUCCCAACAGAGGCUGAUCAAAGCCGGCGCGACGCACCUGGUGGUGCCGGGGAACCUGCCGAUGGGCUGCUCGUCGGCGUACCUGACCCUGCACCCCGGCCGGAACGGCAGCGACUACGACGCCGCCGGCUGCCUCAAGACGUACAACGACUUCGCGCAGCACCACAACGCCGUGCUCCAGCAGAAGCUGCAGGCGCUCCGGGCCAAGUACCCGCAGGCCAGGAUCAUGUACGCCGACUACUACGGCGCCGCCAUGUCCUUCGCCAAGAACCCCAAGCAGUUCGGUGAGUGCCAUUGCUCAACCAACUGAUAUCGAAUCUAAAUUCGGAGCUUUUCUAAAGUUUACAUCGAUCUGAUCAUCACACGACUGAUCAGCUACACUGAAAGUGACACGAAAUGGUCACUAUGCUUAGUUAGAGAGGAUGGCCCGCCACGGUCUGGCAUCAAAAUGGGGUUCCAAUUGUAUGGCUCUUUCGGAAAAGGUCGGGGGAUCUAAGCCACUUAUCCAGUCUCCUUUCGAGAAAGGAGAGUCGUGUCUUGCUUAUUGCUUGCUUAGUUGCUUUCGCUACACUGAAAAGACAUACGGUCCUUUUAGUCAGCCAUCUCCAGUAGCUAACACAUGGACGUGACACUGAAAAAGUGAAAAACAUGGAUCUUUGAUCUUUUCCAAGGAGUGGUAAAAGCCUUUUCUUUUAGAAUGCUGAUCUAGGAAGUGUGAUCCUUCCAUCACGGUAAAGUAAAAUCUGAACUCCUUGACUCUGAAGCUCCGACCUGAUAUAGCACUCAUCAACAUUCAGAAACUUCUUUUACUGCAAUUUCAGAUACUUUGUCGUUUGAGGUACUAGUGAAGUCUACUGGCAUAUUGAUCAGCUGAUGAGUAUUUAUUUGUCACACACCAGUAAAUUGAUCUGGAGUUCCCUUAGCUAGAUGCCACUGUCAGUUCAUCAAAUCGGCCUCUCUUUUUUCUUUGAAAAGCAAUAGUCUCUAUUGAUGAGUUCGUUAGCAGCUCAGGCUUAGACCAACUGUCAUGAUCUGUUAUUUUCUGUUCUAUAGGGGAAAUGACAAUGUCGAUUUAAGGGUAACUGCCAACUGUUUAUAGACUUGACCUGUAGCUUCCACUGUCAGAGUUAGUGUGGUUCGGUUUUGAAUAGACACAGACAGUUCACAGACGAGAUGGUACAUUACUCUGGAUUGAGUAUCAGAGUAAUACGGUGGCAAACAUGAUUAGACAUUUCCAACUUUGUUCAUGAAACUGGUCCAGACGUCCAGUAGUGCAGAGUACCUACACCUAAAAAAAAUCAGCACACCUCUUGAUCAACAAAUUCAGCUCUUCCCCCUGCUGCAUAUGUUGUUCUGAAUAUCUCUGUUACUCACCUGCUGCUGUGAAACUGCUCUCUGCGUGCAGGCUUCACUCAAGGUCCGCUGCGGACGUGCUGCGGCGGCGGCGGGCCGUACAACUUCAACCCGAAGGCGAGCUGCGGCGUGCGGGGUUCGAGCGUGUGCACGGACCCGUCGGCGUACGCCAACUGGGACGGCGUGCACCUGACGGAGGCCGCCUACCACGCCAUCGCCAACAGCAUCCUCAACGGCCCCUACACCAGCCCCAGGCUCCUCUGAUGAUCGUCCAAGGCCCGUCAUCGACGCGAUGAUCAGCAACUAAUCUGUCGUGGCAAAGACUGUGACUGUGAUGAGCUAGUAGUGGUAAUUAAAACUGUUGUGCGUGCUAGCGUGACACUGGAUGGGUAACUCGUAAUUAAAAUGGUGGAGUUUUGGGUUCUGAACUGUCUGAUGGGUUGGUUUUGGGUUCUGAACUUUUGCGCGGAGUGUGCCGCUGGCUUUUACGGCCAUCUCCUCAGUCGGUCGCAGUCAUGGCAGCAGCACUCAAACUCCAAACUCCACUAUUUUGGAGUGUGAUGGUCUGCUUGUAUUAGCAGAGGGGAUGGCCACAGCUGGUUCCGGUUCUGCGGUACUGGGCGUAUCUGACGAGUGACGAGGAAACACAAGUGACCAGUCAUCCUCCAUUCAAUUUAUACAGCCAAUGCAGCAGAUGGCUUUUGGGUUUCCUACCUUUCGUGCCGCCGGCCGGUGCCUGGUGCAAGGAUCGAUCAGCUCCUCCGGUGGUGGUUCGACGAACUGAAGCCAGCGCUUUGCCGCAAAGCAUCUGCAGGUAAAGAUCGGUGAUUCGCAACCGGGAGUUUUUGGUGGGCGUCCCACACCGCCUAGCCCAAUUCCAUGCUCCAGGCCGGGCUGAGAAAUCUCUUUUUUUUUUUGUUAGCAUGGUGGGCCGUUGGAACUAGGCCCCUCAGCCAGCAUAUAACAAACAGCUCGCAAGACAAUGGCCCAUUGGGCAUGUUUAUUUGACCGAUGAUGCUGCGGUGUGGGCACGUGGUUUGCAAUUUGCAUGGCAUGCGGCCAUGCAGACAGGUUUUUUCAACGGUACCACAGCUCCUCCUCUUCUUUUCUGGUGGCGUGUGGCAGCGGCGGCCCCGUACAACUACGGCCCGAAUGCAGAAUGGCGCUGUGAGCGCGCAGCUCCGUCCAAGGCGAUGAUCAACUUUGUCAAAUUUAGGAAAUUCAACUUAUUAAGAGAGAGCUAGGAUGAUAUUUUUAAAGGCAAAAUUUGCUCCCUCUUUGCUAGCGGACAUGCAAAAUAGAGCAGUUUGCUGGAAGACACUUUUGUUUGUGCUAAUUUUGCUGGAAGACACUUUGAGGAGGGAGAAUAUUUUUUUUGACAUCUAGUGCCCCUGCUUGUCCACGUUCCGUACGUGGUUCUCGACGAUGCUGAGGUUGAUGAGUCCGUCAGGGUUGUCGAGGGUUGUCGGAGCAGCGGCAGAGGCCGGCGUAGUAGAGCAAGUCCUCGUCCUCGGAGCGGACGACGACGCCGCGGGCGAAGAGCCCGGGGAGCGCGGCGCGCGGGGUGAGGAGGCCCCGCGAGUGGGAGCGGUGGAUCGGGGAGGCGGCCGUGGAGUUGGCGCUCCCCGCGGCGGAGGGGUAGACGGGGCCCGGCGGCGGGGACCCGGGCGCGGCGGCGGGGGGCGGUUGCGCUUGAUGUAGCACGAGGCUGCCUCGGCCCUGCACCACCCCCUGCAGCGACACCACGAUGCACAUCUCGUCGUCCGCACGCGGCCGCGCCGCCCUGUCGCGUGAUGUUGACGGCGGCGGCGGGUUCUUCUUCCUGCUCUUGCGGGCUGCGGUGGGGCUGAGGUCGUCGUCGUCGUCGUCCCUCAUGUGCGCGGGGGGUGCGGCUGCGGUGGCAGUCUGUGCUGCGGCGUCAUGGGGGGCGGCGCGCGGCGGCGCCGGGGCAGCAUAGGGUGGGGGUGGCAGGAUUCGGUUGGUGCGGGCGGGGGAUCUGGGGGUGGUGGUUGUGGUGGUGGUGGCCGUCUGGCUCUGGGCGAGGAGGAAAGGGAGGAGGUGGGGGACGCCGGGUUUGGCGUCUUGCUUGCCGCUUCUGGCAUCGGGCGGUGAACGAGCCAACCCCCGUUGGCUUGGCUUGGCUUCGGGCCUUGGGCGGAACAGCAGCUCAGGUGGCGGUGGGGUCUUGGGCGGAACAGCGGCUCAGCCGGAACGUGGACGAGCAGGGUACUAGAUGUCAAAAAAAUAUUCUCUCUCCUCAAAGUGUCUUUCAGCAAAAUUGGCACAAACAAAAAUAUCUUCUAGCAAACUGCUCUAUUUUGCAUGUCCGCUAGCAAAGAUGGGACACUUUUCAGUGUCCCGUAGCAAAUUUUGCCUUUUUUAAACGAAUGGGGGUACUCUAAAUCAUUAAUGAAAAUAUGGGACAAUGGUACAGUAAGUUUGGUUUAUAUCAAAGUCAACCCGUGCAUCCUAUUUGUGGAAUGAUGGACGGUACAAAGUAUGAAUACUAAUAUAAUAUGAGUGCAAAGUGUACGUGUGGUGUGAGUGCCGCUGGUGACCAAGAGCGUUACCAAGAUUUGGAAUCGUCGAUCCCUUGUCCAUGUCCAUCCGGCCCUAUAUACGCACUCCGGGCGAAUAUGUAUACGCACACCAGUUCCGAGCGAACAGGUUUCUGCCUACGUACCGGCGUGCCACCAUGAGGGUUUCCGUCGCUGCGCUCCUCGUCGUCGUCGUCGUGCUCCACGUCGCGGACGCCACCGUCCUCCGGCCCCAGAAGCUCUUGUUCCCGGCCAUUUUCAGCUUCGGUGACUCGUACGCCGACACCGGCAACUACAUCAUAGAGGUGGAUCCCAGGCCGUUCAACUUCUCACCUUACGGCGACACCUUGGGCCGCCCCACCGGCCGCGCAAGCGACGGCCUCCUCCCCGUCGACUUCGUCGGUACGUCGCCGCCAAUAAUGUUGCCGCCGCCGCCGCCGCCGCCGCUCUGAUAUCUGGUUACCGUCGACGCCGUACGGCAGUACUGAUCUCACAGCUCGUUUAUUCGUUCAAGCGUAGCGAAUGCUGUGGGCCUGCCUCUCGUGCCGCCGUACUUGGACAGGAGCCAAGACUUCAGCAAGGGCGCGAACUUCGCGGUCAUCGGGGCGAGGGCGCUGGACCAGGCCUUCUUCCUGGAGCAGAACGUCACCUCGCCGGCGGCUCCGAUGAACAGCUCCCUUAGUGUCCAGCUGCGGUGGUUCGAGGAGCUCAAGCCGUCGCUUUGCAAUGCCACAAAACUAGAUUGCGAUGACUACUUGGGCAAGUCCCUCUUCUUCGUGGGAGAGUUCGGCGGGAACGACUACCUCGCCUUCCUGUCCGCCAAGAGCGUCGAGCAAACGACGCAAACCUUCGUCCCGGUCGUCAUCAACGCCAUUGCCGCCGCUGCAGAGGUACUCAAACCUAUAUACAUCAAUUCAGAACCGACUAUACUAUAUAUAGUUGUUUCCUUUCUUUUAGAAAGAAAAUGCACUCACGCAUGGCGUGCCUGUGCGCAGAGGCUCAUCCAGCACGGCGCCAGGCGCAUCGUCUUGCCGGGGAACAUACCCAUGGGCUGCCUCCCUGCCAUCCUGACGCUGUACCCGAGCCCGAACGCGUCGGACUACGACAGCUACGGGUGCCUCGACAAGUUCAACGCCCUCGCACGCUACCACAACGAGCUUCUCCGGAGGUCGGCGCGGGAGCUCCGAGCCAAGUACCCGCGCGCCGCGAUCGCCUUCGCCGACUACUACCAGCCCGUCCUCGCGUUCCUCACGGCGCCGGCGCUCUUCGGUGAGAUCGAUCACGAGUCCACCCUAGCUAUAGCUACCUGUUGGCAUAAGGCCAACACACGAAAGUUGUGUGGGUCGCGAAAAGACCGAACGGCAGUAUACUGCCCAGACUGGUCAGAUCGGGCCAGCAAACCGGUUAGACCGGUUUCUAGGGUUUUGCCUGGAUCGAUUGCUCGAGGGGAUAACUACCACGCUUACGUGAUGGAGGACGGCUAUGUUUACGAGCAAAUUAGCAAAAUGAUAACCAACACACUUACGUGGUGAAGAAAAACUAGUUUACAAGCAAGCUAGCAAAGGCUGUCAAAGCUCUCACUCGGGAGGGACCCCGUUAGGACGUGGACGUUGCCGGCGUGCCCUAAGUCGAUCAGCAAGUCUAGGACGCCAUCUCUGGUCGUGGAGAUUAGUAGACGAACAGCAAGAGAGGUUGGAAAAGAUUUAGGAUUUAGGAGAUAAAAAGUAAGUGCAUAGUUGUUUGAUUUGAUUGGGUUGCACUCAAUCGGCCGUGGCCCUUUAUAUUUAUAGGGUGAGGAGGUCUUGCCGGAGUAGGAGUUAAAGAUUACACAAAUCCUGUGUCAAAAUACAACUAAUAACUCGAAUUAAGCUGGUCAAACCGGUCAGACCGCCCAUCCAAACUGGUCUGACCGGUCUGCGCAGAGCUGAAUUUUGCUAGAGCCAUAACUCUCUCAUCCGGAUUCCAAAUUGAACGUUCUACAUAUUCAUUUCAAUCGUCUCGAUGAGAUCUACACAAUGGUGAAGUCCAAUCAUAAAUUUGAUAAUGUUUGUAAAAUCGGUCUGACCGGUUUGUAGACCAAUUUGUCCAAACCCAUGCCCGACUUAUCCAUUCAUCGUACACAUCCUGCUAGCUUGAACAAUGAACAGAGCUUGGAACCAGCUGGCUCUGAGACGACUGUGCGACGGGUGCAGGGUUCGACAGGAGCACGACGCUGGUGGCGUGCUGCGGCGGUGGCGGCGAGUACAACUUCAACGCCACCGCGUUCUGCGGCUUCCCGCCGGCGACGGCGUGCGAGGACCCGUCUAGGUCGGUGAGCUGGGACGGCAUCCACCUCACGCAGCCGGCGUUCAGGAAAAUCGCCAGGUCGUGGCUGCACGGCCCGUCGUCGGUGCCGCCGAUACUGACCCUUGCCCUCGAGCUUUGAUCCGUUUGAACUUGCAGGGACUGCUACCGUUGGUUUUCGUUACUAUCUCUACGUACUCGUUGCAGCAUGGCCUUUUCCAGACUAUAUAUAACACUAUUGAAUUAAAUAAAUGUAAGAUGCAACAUUAUUGGGACACGUGACAUCGACUUGUUAUUGAGCCAUGGAGCGGUUUUCCUUCCACUGCUUGUCCUAUAUAUGCAUGUACUCCCAUGAACUAAUCUACGUCAUGUCAUACAUAAAAGGAAGGAGGGAGUACCAAAUAUCCUACAUAUAUGUACGUACUCCCAUGAACUAAUCACGGUAGACUCGAGCGCGGCACGUCGCAGGGACCGUGCAACUUCACAAGUAACUGGUGUAGCACUAGCUUGCUUCUGCAAAACCAUUAGAACCGCAUGAUACUCGGCCCUGCAUUGGACGAGAUCUACAAAAUGGUAACUCGAUGCUACCAUUAAGGACAGCGCAACCGCAACGGAGUCCGAUCUCCCAGGUGCGACGGCGUGCACAUACCAUCCAUGAUGGUGAAGUGGGACGCCAUACACCUCAUGAAGUUGGCAUACAUGAACAUCGCUAGAACAUGCAUGAUUACACCUGGGGCGGAUCCAGGGCGCAGGGGGGCUCAAGCCCCCCUACCUGGAGUUGAAAUCCUUCGAAUAAAGACAUCAGCAAGCCUUUGGUGAAGAUGACGGAUAUUGGAACAUAGUUGAUCCAUGUACACGGAUGGGACAGAAGAGUGACGCGUUCAUGGACAAGGUGCACGUCAAUCUUCAUAUACUAGGCGCUGGAGAGAUAAAAAGGGCAGGUCUGGUCAUGGUCCUGGCAACGGAUCCAAACUCAAGUGCUCUAAAAUCGGACUCCUUUUUUGUUUGCGAAAAAAAAUCGGACGCCUUUGAUGUUGUCUUAGUAGGCUAGAGUGGCACGUUGCAUAACUAGCUUAGUCAACUCGCUUCUACAACUCAGCCUAAGUACUAGAAAGACAUCCCGACGCCGGUGGGGAUUUCCAAAGUUGCUAUGUAUGGGAAUUUUCAAAUCUAUCAUUACACACAAUUUCCCAAGAAAGAUGUCUUGGCCUUUUAAAGAAACUUUUUCUAGCGAUUUUCAACACCGUUUAGUAGUCUAGGUUUAGAAAUGUCCAUAGACGAUCGUUAUAAUGACAAUGCACCUAGCACAUUGUAACCAAUUACCGAAAAGUGAAAGAUACAAUGAUCAUAAACAUGCAAGGGUUCCUAAUUCUAGCAUCAACGAACUCCCUCCGUACUCGAUUACAAUUCAGUUUAGCUUUGACCUAUGUCAAAUGCUCUAAAUCUGACUAAAUUUUUAGAAAAAUAUAUUACCAUCUAUAAUACAAACAAAUACACUUCCAAGACAUUGUAUAGACUACAAAAAUGAGCUACGGAUCUAAACCGUUCGUGAGGCCAUAUUUAAAACGUCACCAAUGGUCUGGGCAAGUUUAUCAUUUUUUGCUCUUUUGCAAAUACACGAGAUGCACGUCUGGAUUUGGAACCGUGUUUUUUUUAAAAAAAAUCAACCCAUAAAAUUUUUGCCAAUAAGGUAUAAAGAAAUUUAAAAAGUUCCUUUGAAGACUAUAUUGGUCCACAAGGCCAUUAAGCUUAAUGGGCCUUUCUGAACAAAAUGUAAACGGCGGACCAUGGACAAGGAAAUGGACAUUACCGCUCGACGGCAAUUUACAAAAGUGGCACCGACACCGACCCAUCUGCUUUUGCUGUCUUUGCUUAAUGGCGUCAGCAUUAUUCCUAAAAUUUGUUUAGAGAUUGUUUAGUAUCAGGUCAACGAGUGGUGCGCUAUCGAAAUCUGAAUCUGCAAAUCGCUGUACCCGAUUUGCUAUAUAUUUACUCUGAAGGUCCAAAAUGAUCGGCGUACAAUCUGGGAAUGCCGGCCGAGCCGUAGUCUCUCUCGAGCGGCAUUUGGUAAUCGUUUCGUUACCGUGAUCCAGUGAUUCUGCAGCCAUGAGGAGUCCCGUCAUCGCCGCCGUGGUCCUCCUCCUCGGCUCGUUCCUGCUCCACGGCGCGGACGCCGGCCACCGGCCCAAGCCCUCCUUUACCGCCAUAUUCAGCUUCGGCAACUCCUACGCCGACACCGGCAACUUCGUCAGGUUCGCCGCGCCCUUCAUCCCCGUCAUCCCUUUCAACAACCUCCCCUACGGCGAGACCUUCUUCCACAAGCCUACCGGCCGGGCCAGCAACGGCCGCAUCAUCCUCGACUUCAUCGGUACGCUCCUACGCCAUCGAUGUUGCCGCCGCCGCCGCUCUGAACAAACAUGCUUCAAUUCGCCUGACAUGGAUUUGCAUGCGCACGCAGCUGAAGCUUACGGUCUGCCGUUGGUGCCGCCGUCCCUGGACACGACGCAGAGCUUCAGCAAGGGCGCGAACUUCGCGGUCGUGGGGGCGACGGCCCUGGACCUGUCCUACUUCAUGGAGCGCAACAUCACCUCCGUUCCCCCGUUCAACAGCUCGUUCAGCGUCCAGAUCGGGUGGUUCGAGCAGCUUCUCAAGACGUCGCUCUGCAACAACACCGCCAAGGGAAAAUGCGACGAUUACCUGAAAAAGUCUCUCUUCGUCAUGGGCGAGUUCGGCGGGAACGACUACGUUUUCCUCCUCGCCGCCAACAAGACCGUCGAGCAAACGAAAACCUACGUUCCCGCCGUCGUCAAGGCCAUCGCCGGCGGCGUCGAGGUACUCAACAGUGAAUACUCACCGGCCGGCCCUGAUCCUCCUCCUCUGAUGACCUGAUCGGUUGACCAACGCGCGUGUGGGUGCAGAAGUUGAUCAAGCACGGCGCCAGGCGCAUCGUGGUGCCGGGGAACCUGCCGACGGGCUGCAUCCCGAUCAUGCUGACGCUGUACGCGAGCCCCAACAAGGCGGACUACGACAGGUACGGGUGCCUCGACAAGCUCAACGGCCUGGCGCGCUACCACAACGCCUUUCUCCGGCGCGAGGUCAUGGCGCUCCGGAUCAAGUACCCGGGCACCAAGAUCGCCUACGCCGACUACUUCUGGCCCGUCGUCGGGUUCCUCCAGAACCCGGCCAACUCCGGUGAGAUCAUCGAUCGCGUGCCAACUAGAACGCCGUCCGAACUAUACUCGAAACCGAACUGUAACUAACUAAAGCCGUCGGGAUGCGACGCAUGGCGGCGGUGGUACGUGCAGGUUUCGACGGCAGCACGGCGCUGGUGGCGUGCUGCGGCGCCGGCGGCAGGUACAACUACAACGUCACGGCGGCGUGCGGGUUCCCCGGCGCGACGGCGUGCGCGGACCCGUCCAGGGCGGUGAACUGGGACGGCAUCCACCUCACGGAGGCGGCGUACAGGGACAUCGCCGGAGGAUGGCUGCGAGGCCCGUUCGCGCAACCGCCCAUACUGAGCCUCGCGCGUUGAAACACUGCUUGGAGCUUGGAUUGACCCUUGAGGGAGUGGAGCCUUUGGCUCUGACCUGGUGUGUGCGUUGCGUACAGGAGAUUGAAAAGGUGUUUCUUUUUUCCUUCGUUUUGACCUGUGUGUUUCUUUAUUGUUACUACUACAUUUGAACUCUUGUUAUUAAGGGUCUGUUUGGUAACAAGGUUAGUUUAACACCCGUCACAUCGGAUGCUUGGAUGCUAAUUAGAAGUAUUAAACAUAGGCUAAUUACAAAACUAAUUGCACAGAUGGAGUGUAAUUCGCGAGACGAAUCUAUUAAGCCUAAUUAGUCUAUAAUUUGACAAUGUGGUGCUACAGUAACCAUUUGUUAAUGAUGAAUUAAUUAGGCUUAAUAGAUUCGUCUCGCGAAUUAGCACAGAGUUCUGCAAUGUUUAGUUCUCCUAAUUAGCAUCCGAACAUUCGAUAUGACACUGUUAAAGUUUAACACCUCGUAUCCAAACACCGCCUAAGAAUAAAAUGUGACCUUUUCAAGACUUCGACUGAAUUGAUACUUUAACAGCUGCUUGUUUCAGUAGCCAUGACCAUGAGCCCCAAACGUCAACGAUCCAACCGAAACCUUUUCAUUCUUGCUCUGAGGAGGAAAGAAAAUAAUGUGACGGUGUGACUCGUUCGUGCUAGUACCAGUAAGUACCGUAUGUCUGGGCCAAACAAUUAACUUGGCAGUUGGCACCACCACUUCAUUGAUUUUUUUGAACUGAACGGCAAAAGAUUUGCCAUAAUUUUUAUUACUAGACCAAACAACUGAAAAACAACUCAACGCUCUCCACAACUGACUUUAUUGAUUCAGAGUCUGUUUAGGAGCACUCCACUUCCCAAAAACCAGCUCCACUCCAUCAGCUCCAUACUUUUCCAGCUCCACUCCACUAACUCCAAAAAAUAUGGAGCUGAUGGACGUGUUUGGCUGAUUGCAGUACUCCAGCUCCAAAAACAUGAAGAUUUGUUGUGAAUAGUCUAUUUUACCCAUCGUAAAUGGACCCACGUGUCAUCCUCUCCUCUUUUCUCCCCUCCUCUCCCCCUCUCUUCUCUCAGGCGACCACCGAGCAGUACGCGUUUCAGGAUGGAACGGCCAGCACAAACUUGCAGGUGAGACUGUGAUCCUGAAGCCACUGAACUGAAUUGAACAAUCGUUCCGAGCAUUAUCCUAACGUAGUUGGGUUUGCAUUCUUUCUCCAGCAAAGGAACUUCUGGGAGGCUCUGAACAUCAGUGGCAGCAGCAGCGACGAGUGAAGCUCUGAAUCUAACAGUCUGUGUAGCGUGUAGGCCCUUGGAGACGACGAAUCCCUUUGCCAUCAUCCUUCCUGCCUGUAGGGUGCUGUAAUUCUUUUUUCAUAUUUUCACCGCGAUUAGUAUUCUCAAGAUAGCAGUAACAGCCAUCAUCUGAUAGUUUAAUUAAAAUUUUGUGUAUAAGAAGAAUACUCCUCUGCUCGCCCUCACCAGCAGAUGGCCUCCUGCAGCGCGCUCCACCCUUGCUUGUUCUGCAGGCUCCAGUCUGCGCCCGCCGAGACGGCAUCAGUGGCAUGUCGCGGUGGCAUCUGGUCGCCCGUCUGAGCACAACAUCAGUGGCAUGUCGCGGCGGUCGACGACCUUCGAGACGGCCUUGGCGCGGGCCUCCUCGGUGACGGAGUCCGCCUCCGUCCAGAUCUCCUCGAGCGGCCCCGCGGGAGCGCGUCCAGCACACGGCGUGGUGAGCUGGGCUGUGCGCUUACCUCGCCGCGUCCACGCUGGCCAUCCGCGGCGCCGGUGAACCAACCAGAUGGGGAUGCGCCCGGACCAAAUGACGCGGAUGCAGUCCAGCGCCCAGAUGGGGCUCCGCGGCCUCCGGUAUCUCGACAAGACCUCCGGCGGGAAGGAGGGGUGGAAGGCCGUCGAGCGUCGCUUUGACGAGAUGACAAAGGGCAGCGGGCGACUUCUCACAGAGGUUCGGCGCGGUCUGGCGGGGCGAAGAGGUUCGGCGGCGCCCGGCGCUGCCUGGCCUACGGUUCCUCACGAGGGAGGAGUCACGGGGAAAGAGAAGGGGCGCGCGGAUGGGGGUGUUUUGUUUCUGAUUGCGAACCGGUACGUGUGUAACCGAUGGCAGUGGUGGAUAAAUAUCCACCAACUCCAUGAGGAGGUUUGAAAAGGGAGUUUUUGGAGCACCUCCUGAGGUACUUCAAGAAAAACGUGGAUCUGACCCUUGCUUCACGUUUUUCCUGGAGCCGGAGUUGCUGGAGCUAGACGUGUUUGGCUGCGAAAUUUUUGAAGUUGGUGGAGUGGAGCAAUUUUUCCUGGAGUGGAGUGCUCCCAAAUAGACCAUCGUUCAUUCAGCAGCUUUGUUAAACUUCGCGCUCGCUGCAUAUAUGAUUGGAGGGAAAGAAAUUCGUAAGGCCUGAAGCACAACAGAUCUGGCCUUGUGGGCAGUGGCCCAGUAUCGAGUGAUGCAGCCCAUCUUUCAUGUCCUUUAAAUCGUGCACUUUCAGCCUUUUUGCGCAUAUAGAGAAAGUGGGUGUUUUUUUUGCUUUUGGAAACAUAUAAAGCACCUCACGGUUAGAUCAUAUAUGUUGCGCAGUUGUGCAUGACAGUGGGCUAUGAUAAUGUAUUUUAUCAUUUUUUACAGGGACGUUUGUCCUUCAUUGAUGCUUCUAUCAAUUAUUCUUCUGUCUUGUUAUUAUUUGUCAUUUCAUUUUGUUCGACCAAACAAUCUCCUUUUUUAUACAAAAUAUGUAUUUAUUUCGUGAAUCAUUAAUAUUGUUUUUGUGUCAUUUUAUUCAUCAUACCUAACAAAAACACGUCCAUUAUCUUCACUCCCACUUCAUAUUUAUAGUAUUUUAGUUUAUCUAUUUUUUUUAUCUUGGCGGCUGAUUGGACCAUUUGUCUUCAUUUUUCAUUUUUGGCUGAAUUUUCAGAUCAUUAUUGAAAUGCCAAUGCCUCAUUAAGCAUGACUUUUGUAAAAGAGAUGUUGUGCUUGUCUGCUUGAGAGUUGAGACUAAGGAAUAGGAAAUUUCUAAUCUACUGUAGAUGUUACAGUUCUGUACUUUUCAUCUACUAUGAAAAUGUUUGUUACUUUAUGUACAUUUGGAUAUUUUUCACUCCCGUUUCCAAUACUUGUCGUCUAUAUUUCAAAGUGGGUGGGUGCUCAUUUGCACAUAUUUAAUUUGUUUCUUUUUCCGAGUUCUAUUUAAGGAUGGCCAUGAACUGGUUUGGCCCACUGGAUCAUCGAUCCGCUCAAAAAAAAAAAGAGUGGGAUGGGCCACCGGUAGACCCGAGCAAAAUUAGGGCAACAGUAGCUGUAGCUGUCCCAUCUGCCACCAAACCUCACGGGCAGCAGUGAUCGGCUGAUUUCUGCGCGCGUGUUUCACGAGCUGACGAGGUCUGUUGUUGUUGGAGGUGCCCACUUAGAUGCCAUAUCAGUUAGUGUACGUCAAUGCAGUUGGUGGAUCAAUCGCGAUCCAGAUAAACUUUAUUCGGGACUUCUCAAUGCUUCGACACCGAGCCAAGAUCUUUGAUAUUCCCUCGGAACCGAUGAAAAAGUGGAUCGCUUUUUUAUGGACUCGCUCAGAAUGAUUCUUCUCUCUUCUAUCUAUAGUCAUGGCCUAUUAGAAAUAGAAGGUACUCUGGUGCAAUCCUUACCGACAGAAAAAGAUACAAACUCUAAUCCCUUUGAUGGAAGUAUGGAUGCAUAGCUUUUAGUCUGUUAUCAGGUCCUGGUUCAUCUUAGUUGCUCUUUCUUCAAAAAAGAUUUUAUCCUUUUUCCGUAAGCUCCUUCUUUUGUAAUGCUCUGCUCCCCUAUCUCUGCUUCGCUAGCUUGUUUUGUAUCGGUAUUCUACUUUUUAUAAGUAACAUGUAUAAUCAGUAGGGGAUAAACCUCUCACGUUUCCUUAAAAAAAAUCGCGAUCCAGAUCUGGAUCCAUUGGUGCAAAUGGAUGUAUCAUUUUUGCCCGGUCCACGUCAAGGUACUAGCGUUUAGCGGCAUGGUAGCGGACUAGUGCCGGUGUAGCAGAUCGCGGAUAGCGGGUGCUAUAGCUAACGCUAAGUCUAAAUAGCAGAAUUUAAAACAUAGUCAUAAUUUUAGAGCAUAUAUGAAUAUUAACAUCAAAUUUACUUAUAAAAAGUUAUAGUUUUAAGUUAGCCAUUAUUGGUAAGAAUCACAAAUAAAUAGGUAUAAUUAAGAUGUAUGGAUAUAUAUUAACAUUAAAUUCACAUAUCAAUAAAUAAAAAAAUUUAUUUUCAUCCAAUAACUCUUCGUCACUACCUAAAUAACCAUUUUAAACAUUAUUAUUACUAUUUGAUUCAUAUUCAUAUGUCACUUGAACUGUAAUAUAGCGAAUAGCGGUCUAACAUGAGCAAUAGCGGGCAAUAGCGGACAAUAGCGGCUGCUAAGUCCAAACAUGCUACCUUGGGUAGGUAGCGGUAGCGGCCGCUAUUGUGGGCGCUACGAAUGCUAUUUAGUACCUUGGUCCACGUGCAAUAAUUGACUAUCAUGGUGUGUGGCGUGUCUUGAGGAAUACCGGUACCACUGAAAGAAAAAUAUGAUUGUGUACAAUGUUAAAGGAUAGGUAUGUCUCUCGUAAAGAGUCUUAUGUUAACACGUCAAAUGAAUGUGAUGAUAUUGGAUACGUAGAUGCGUUGGUUAAACCUCGACUACAGAUAGAUCUUGCAUAGAUAGAGAAGGUUUAAACCAUCUGUGUCUUGUAUCACAAGUUAUAAUCAAACUCUUGUAAUCUGUUGGGGAUUUCCCUAUAUUAACAUGGAGCCGUGAGCUAGCCUAGGUAGGCAGCCAUGUUCACCUAAUUACCACUACUUCUUUCAUGAUAAUUAGAGCUACUUCCUCAAAAUACAUCUACUGCCAUGGCCUCCAGUUCCUCGUCAUUGUCAAGUGCUCUCGGGCCGCCAGUCUCCGAGAAGCUCAAGCGAGAGAACUUCAUUCUUUGGAAGGCCCAGGUGUUGCCGCCGAUCAGGGGUGCUUGCCUUCUUGGAAUCCUUGACGGUUCAAUUCCGGCACCACAAAAAACAAUCCAAGAUGACAAGAAGAAUGACGUCUCCAACCCGGCGUAUGAGAUAUGGCUGGCGCAAGACCAGCAGGUACUCAGCCAUCUCGUCAACUCCCUAUCGUCCACAGUGUUGGCACAGGUAGCUACGUUGACAUCGUCGUCCGAAGUUUGGGUGGCAUUGGAAGACAUGUACUCGGCACAAUCACGUGCACGAGUAACCAAUCUACGGAUGCAACUUGCAAGCCUCAAGAAGGGAAGCAUGGACAUCUCAAUGUACUUCAACAAGAUGAAGUCAUCAAUCAUCACAUGCCAGUAGAGCUUCUUCGUUAGGAAAAACCCGACUAUGCCUCUCUUCGUGUCUUUGGAUGUGCAUGCUAGCCGAAUCUUAGGCCCUUCAACACAAGGAAACUUGCAUUCCAUUCCAAAAGAUGUGCCUUUCUUGGUUAUAGAUCUAUUCACAAAGGGUUCAAGUGCCUUGAUAUUCCAAUUGGCCGUGUGUAUAUCUCUCGUGAUGUAAUCUUCGAUGAAUCUAUUUUCCUUUUGAAACUCUCCAUGAAAACGCUGGUGCUCGUCUUCGUCAAGAAAUUUUUCUUUUACCGGAUCACCUUUUGAAUAAUAGUUCCAGGGAUGUAAGUUGUAAUGCUAAUAGUACUGAUGAUCAUAAUCCAAAUCAUGGUUCUAGCAGAAACCUGGCCAGCACAGAAAACGAUGAUGAUCCACCGACGCCUGCGAGCACUAAUUUCCAGGGGGAUCCAUUGGCGUCUGCGCCUUCCUCGUCCGCCCGAAUGAUGCCGCCAGCUAGCCAGGCGUUGUCGCAUGGUGUCCGGUCUCCACCCGCCAGCCCGAGCGCACCGCGUGCCGCCCUGUCUCCACCCGCGUGGCACGCCAGGACAGGCGGGGGCCGUUGCAGCACCAACGCCCGUGCUAGGACAGCACGUCUCAAUUCUGGUGGAAGCGGAGAUUUUAUCUCCCAGAUCUUCUACGGCUCCGGAUUUUGCUGAUUCAACACCAAAUCCUCCUCGGCUAAGGACAAGAUCUCAAAUUAGCAUUGUUAAACAAAAGCAGUAUAUAGAUGGGAUUGUUAGAUAUGGGUUCUUUUCUUCUACAGGAGAACCACAUACUCCAGAGGAAGCACUUAGUGAUCACAGGUGGACAAAAGCAAUGGAAGAGGAGCUUAUGGCGCUUCAUAAAAACAAGACUUGGCACUUGGUUCCUCCCUCCAAAGGAAACAAUCUUAUUGAUUGCAAAUGGGUGUAUAAAUUAAAGCGAAAGGCUGAUAGGAGUAUAGAUCGUUACAAAGCAAGAUUGGUGGCUAAGGGAUUUAAACAAAGAUAUGGUAUUAAUUAUGAAGAUACUAUUAGCCCUGUUGUGAAAAUUGCUACUGUUCGACUUCUGUUAACUAUAGCAGUCUCGAGGGGCUGGUGUUUGAGGCAAUUAGAUAUACAGAAUGCGUUUCUUCAUGGUGUUCUUGAGGAAGAGGUUUACAUGAGACAACCUCCAGGCUUUGAGGAUGCAAAAUUUUCAAACUAUGUUUGUAAGUUGGAUAAAGCUAUUUAUGGGUUAAAGCAAGCUCCGAGGACCUAGUAUUCACGGUUGAGUUCAAAAUUACUUGAUCUUGGGUUUAGAGCAUCCAAGUCUGAUGCGUCAUUAUUUAUUUAUUUCAAGUAGAACACAACCAUAUUUAUGCUCAUAUAUGUUGAUGAUAUCAUAGUAACAGGGUCAUCCAUGGAUGCGAUUUCAGCUUUACUUAAAGAUCUACGUGCAGAUUUUGCUCUUAAAGAUUUGAAAAAUAUGAAUUAUUUUCUUGGGAUUGAAGUCAAACCAACUCAAGGAGGCAUUAUAUUGUCGCAAACAAAGUAUGCUUCGGAUGUUUUGAAGAGAGUUGGCAUGACAAAUUGUAAGUCUUCUUCGACUCCUUUGGCAGCCUCAGAAAAAAUUUUCUAUCAAGACGGAACUUUACUAUCAUUAGAAGAUGGUACAAGAUAUCACAGUAUUGUUGGGCCUUGCAGUAUUUAACUCUCACACGUCCUGAUUUAGCUUUUGCUGUUAACAAAGUGUGUCAAUUUCUGUAUGCUCCUACAACUGUUCACUAGGCGGCUGUUAAAAAAAUUCUGAGGUAUGUGAAAGGGACACUGAAUAUUGGGCUUGAGAUAAGUAAGUCAUCUUCUAAUUUGACAAGUGCUUUCUCUUAUGCGGAUUGGGCCGGUAGCAUUGAUGAUAGAAGGUCUACCGGUGGAUUUGAUGUUUAUUUUGGUCCGAAUUUAAUCUCAUGAAGUGCUAGAAAACAUGCAACUGUGUCUAGAUCAAGCACUGAAGCAGAGUAUAAAUCAUUGGCCAAUGCUACAGCUGAGACUAUUUGGGUAGAACCGUUACUAUCCGAAUUGGGCGUGAAAUAAAGGAAUCACCUUACCUAUGGUGUGACAACCUUGGUGCAACUUAUUUAUCAGCUAAUCCUGUCUUUCAUGCACGAGCUAAACAUAUUGAGAUUGAUUUUCACUUUGUAAGAGAAAGGGUAGCAAGUAAGCAGUCAGAGAUUCGCUUUAUUCCAUCUAAAGAUCAGCUGCCUGAUGGUUUCAUCGAGGCACUUCCAGCUCGGGAGUUUGAGAAAUUCAAAGGCAAUCUAAACCUCAGAAGCAAGUCUGGUUAAGAUUGAGGGAAGCUGUUAAAGGAUAGGUAUGUCUCUUGUAAAGAGUUUUGUGUUAACAUGUCAAAUGAACGUGAUGACAUUGGAUACGUAGAUGCGUUGGUUAAACCUUGACUACAGAUAGAUCUUGUAUAGAUGGAGAAGGUUUAAAUCAUCUGUGUCUUGUAUCACAAGUUGUAAUCAAACUCUUGUAAUCUGUUGGGGGUUUCCCCUGUAUUAACAUGGAGCCGUGCGCUAGCUUAGGUAGGCAGCCACGUUCACCUAAUUACCAUUACUUCUUUCAAGACUUUCUAGACCAAACUAACUCCAAAUAUAGCUCGUUUGAGCAGCUAAUGCGCAUUAUGCAACAAUUAAGAUUGAGCAAAAACUUAUGCAACAAGGAAAGGAAAGAAGAAAUCAACACUUGAAGUUAUAGCCGCAACACACAACUAUUGAUGGCCUAAGUGUCACAUUAUUAAUUUCAUAAUCCCGAUCAACUGCGGUCUCUCUCUGUCACUUGCAUUGCACCACAGCACCGGCAUCCAAUCUGGCUGACUUAGGCCCUGUUUUCUUCCACUGACUUAUUUUUAGCACCCGUCACAUCGAAUGUUUAGAUACUAAUUAGGAGUAUUAAACGUAGACUAUUUACAAAACCCAUUACAUAAG